AAAUUUAUUGCUGGUUGCAACAUAUCCAACACAACUUUUACUUUUUGCAAGUCUUCACUUUGUUUUCCCCAUAUCAGCUCUAACUCCUCAAUUUUCUCUUUGCCUUUCAGGUUUGCAUCGUGUGCCUCUCUGGCAUCAACAACAUUAUCUAGGUUCUUGAUGGUAAGUUUUCCUUGUAGGUUUGGGAAUUUCCUUAGCUCUUUGAUACCUAACCCUACGUGGGGCUUACCCACUAAAAAGAGGGUGAGAGUUUGAAGGUUUUCUAGUCGCCCAAUUUCCACAGGCAACUCAUUUAUAUUAGUCCCACUUAUAUCAAGGUGACGUAAACUGACUAAAUUUCCAAUAUGUACUGGCAAUUCAGUAAGACUGUCACACCUUGAUAAAAUCAAGGUCUGUAAGUUGUAAAGGCUACAUGUUGUAUCAGGCAAGCUUUUGAUGUUAGUGAAGGAGAUAUCUAGAUACCGCAAUUGCACCAAAUUGCCAAUUGAAUCUGGUAAUUUAGUGAUGUUUGUAUACCUCGAUAGUGAUAACACACGCAGCCUUUUUUGUGAUGGGAGCAGAUCAUCAACCACCUUGAAGGAUAAGUAGUUUUCAUUGAAUGAAUGGGAGGAAGUGGAUAGAAAGCUUCGCAAGCAUUUGAAAUUGUAUAAUUUCUCAAACUUCAUGAAAAUGUCAUAGAAUUUUUGGUUAUAUGAGAAGUGACGAACAUUUUCAGGGAUGUCAUCGCAUUCAAGCCUGUAACAACUUUUUCCUGAUACGAAUGUAGAUAAAUCAUUGACAAGGUCAUGCAUGACAAACUUUUUUCCACAAGCAUCAUCGCUUAAUUGUUGAAUUAAUGAUCUCAAUAACAAUUCAGCAAAACAAUCAUUGCCUAAUUCCUCCAAAUCUUUUCCCCCUUGAGAACAAUCAAGAAAGCCUUCUGCCAUCCACAACAAAACCAAUUGCUUCCUAUCAAGUGGGCAAUCCUUGGGAAAAAUUGAACAAUAUGCAAAACAUCUUUUCAAAUGAGAGGGAAGAUAUUGAUAACUCAAAUGCAAAGCAGGAAGAAUGUAAUCAUUAGGUAAGUUCCAUACAUUGCUGUUCAAAAUGGAUGUCCACUCUGUUACAUCUACCUUUGAACGUAGAAGUCCUCCUAUUGUUUUAGCAGCUAUUGGCAAUCCUCCACACUUUCUUGCAAUCUUCCUGCCUAUUUCUUCAAGGGUUGUGUUUGAACUAUGGUGAAACUCAUCACUACCCAAUGCAUGCUUUGAGAGUAAAGACCAACAGUCUUCAUUCGAUAGAAGUUUUAGUUCAUGUAUAGGAAAUGUGCAUGCUACCUUAGCAACUUUUCGUUGGCGCGUUGUUAUAAUCACCAUGCUUCCGGGUUUUCCAUCAAUGAAGGGACUUACUAGUUCACCCCAAUCAUAAUAAUUGUCAUUCCACAAAUCAUCCAACACAAACAAAAAUCUUUUCUCCCUUGAUUUUUUCUUUAACGCAACUCGAAGGACAUCAAGAUUAUUGCUAUCCCAUGUUCUUGAAGUGACCGAUUCAAGGAGAGACUUGGUUACUCUCAAAAUAUCAAAAUCCUCAGACACACAAGCCCAUGCCUUCAAAUCAAAAUGUUGUUGAACUUUUUCAUCAUUGUAAACAAGUUGUGCAAGGGUAGUUUUUCCUAAACCUCCCAUGCCCAAAAUUGCAACAACACCUAUAUUAUUAUGCGAUGUGUCUGUCUCUGAUAGCAACAUGUUCAUUAUAGUGUCUUUAUCAUCCUUCCUACCCACCAUGACAGAUUCAUUUACCACUGAACUUGAAGGUGUUCUACGAGAAACUCUACCACUUUUAGUUUGCAGACCAAGUAUAUCUUUAUACUGUGCAAAGAAUUGCAGGCUAUCACACAUGACCUUCAUUUGAGAAUUGAUCUCUCUGUAGAAGGUGUUAAAAGGAGAAGAAAGGAAGUUCAACACCUGAUUAGUUUUGUUUUGAGCUUUUGCAUUCUCCACCUUGCAUCGCAGGGAAUCAUAACUGAUUUCAUUGAGCAAGUCCUCAGCAUCAAAGAUAGCAUCUUUCAAGUCAUCAAGCCAUUGCUUGACAGAAGGAUUGAUGAUCUGCUUCUCCUCUGCAUCAUCCAGCACAACUUGAAGAGUGAGCAGUGUUGUUUUUAACUGCCUCAAGAGUGAGACAUUGAGUUUGGUGUUUUUGAUGUAAUCAAGAAACUCUGUUGAAGCAAGUUUCUCAACUAAGGUCUGAACAGUUGCAGAGAGAAAAGCACCUCCUAUCAUAGUUGCAGCCAUCUUCUGUUGAUCUUGUAAAAGCAAAUCAGCAACUAAGGUAUGGAAGUUGUAGAUAAUAGUAUGGAAUUUUGAUGGAAAUUAAGAGCUAUGAAAGAUUUAGGGAUAGCAGUAAGGAGCAAAGACUCAAAGAAGACUCGCUUGUGAGUGAAUGGAUAACACUAACAGUGCUGUUUUUGAAUGGUUGGAAGUGCAUAUAGAAGUGCAUAUAGAUAUCUUUUCUUAUCUAUAAUAUGUAUCAUCCAACAGAAAAAAUAAAUGCUUGUUUGUGGACACACAUUAGACUAAAGGAAUUGGCAUCUUUGAAGUUUGAAUGAUAAAUUCUACUGUGGACCAUUUCAAUAUAUAGUCGAUUGUGGAUCAACUAGUAUUUGAAAAUUGUUUGAAACUUUAAUGAUGAUAGUUAUUGGCUUUUAGAAAUAGAAGCUUAUGAUUCUCUUUGUCCUCGCCGCUAAGACAGUGACUUGAUCGGUGUUAACUCAGACAAAAAAGAGAACGAAAUUAGUCCAAUAAAUUUAUUUUCCCCUUGGCUAUUCAAAAUGAAGCUGAACUGCUGGACCCAAUGAUAAUAAUUGAGGGCCACCUCUUUCCUAUUAAUAUCAUUUAAGGAUAUUUAGAACAAUAUGUUAUCAUCAGUAACAAGUCAUUGAUGAAUGGUUCCAAUGUACAAAUAACAAAAGAAAGACAAAAUGAAAUAUUGGUGUGGAGACAAGAUUUUAAUAUUUUUGAUGUGUUUCUCUGCCCUUGAAAUUUCAGUUUAGUUUCACAAAUCUAAAUAAAAAAUAUUAAGAAAAGUCUUCGCUAAGGAUUCUAUAUGAUAUUUAAAAACUUAUGUAUUAAUGCCAAGUGAUGUGAGCGGAAGGUUCAACCAUUAAUGUCAACUGCAUUUGGCUAAGAACUUUAAUUUCUUCCAAAUGUUGUAUAAUGAAGAGAAGUUUAUAAUGGUAUUAGUGUUCACUUACAGAUAUGAUUUGAGAAUAUUACAAUGUUUAGUACACUCUAAUCUUGCUUGUGCAAAUUAUGUAGGAUAUACAAUGAUGUCGAUAUGAUAAGAAAAUACAGACUGAAUACCCAAGUAAAUCUAAUCCUGUGGCAAUGACGGCCGUUUUGCUCCUCUCAAAUAUUUUUACAAGAAGAAUCAUUACAAUAACAUGCCCCACUUAGGCCUUUCAUGAAAAUGAGACAUUACAUACAUGAUGAUUAAGAUAAUUCAACAGUUGGAGUGCUAAAAUAAAAUGUCUAUUGAGAGUUAUGAAACGGAGUAACCGAUGAGAGUUACUCAUAGAGUGAGUGGAGGAUCGCGACCAUACCCCCUACAUGAUUAUAGGGUUUAUAAUAGCUUUCAAAGCGAACAUUCCGAAGAGAGAGGACCCUUUAAGCGCACGGUCAACAGAAGGUGACAUAUCAUGAGGUGUGUUGCUAAUGAACAAUCCAUAUAAGCCCAAACCAAAAAUCAACAUAACAGUACCAGCAAGAUAAACAUCUGCAGCAAUAGGAUUCAUUUAUUUUAUUGACAUAGAUAAGGCUAAAUGUAAGUAAAAACUAAACCUUAUCAGAAAUUUGGACAAAAACCGAAGUAAAGUUGAAACUUCCAAAUGAAAACAGAAAAAGAAAAAAGUUAUUUUCAUGUUCUUUGUUUAGAUAAUGAUGGAGAAUAAUAUUCUUCCCAAUUGCUUCAACCAAGUGUAGAACCAUCUUUCCGGCGUGAACUCCUUUGACACCACUUGACCAAUAGACUUUGUAUGUAUCGACAAUAUAAACGCAACCCUAAAAUGAAGCAUGAAUAGUUAAUGUAUGUUUUAGUUAAUUUUUUUUUUUUGCUGAAUCAAAAGCAAACAAAAUCAUGAGGAGAUAGUUUGAAAUCCUAACUAGGUUGGCACUCGACGGCUGCCCCAUCCUCUACCACGUUGCUCAUCUCUAAAUAAAUGUGGGGAGAGAGUACCACCAAAUAACAUCAACCAAGUUGUGACCAUGAUUUGCUAACUUAUCUGUACAACAAUUUCCUUCGCGAAAAAUAUGAGAUGAAAGGAUGGAAAUGCCUCCAUGCGUACACUUAUGCCACAUUUCAAAGAGAAAAUGAAACUAACGAAGGGUUCCGGAAAGCCUGCAAAGCACUCUGGGAGUCCCUCUCCACCAAAAGAUGACGCAGAUGGUGUUGAAUGGCAAAUUCCAGAACCAACACAAAGCCAAAUAACUCAGACUCAAAAACUGAUUUUUGACCCAAAUUGUAAGAAAAACAACCCAAAAAAGAUCCUCGAUAAUCACGAAAAAUGCCACCACAAGCAGCCAAGCCAUCAACAACUGAACCAUCCAAAAUCAACUACACUAAGGAAUGUGUUGAAGUACAGUCCGAAAUCUUUCUUCUUCCUGAUGACAUUCUUGAAUUGUGUUUGAAUUGUCUUCCAUUUGAAAGUCUCAAGAAUGUUAGGCUUGCUUGCAAGAAUUGGAGUUCCUUCCUUACUACCGAGAGAAUCCUUCAAAUAAAGGAUACUAGAUGCCAAAAUCUAUGGUUGUUUGUGUUUGGUGCUCUCAUACAACCCUUUUCUGAUUUAGAUUAUCAUGUUAACAUGAUACAUGCACUUGAUCUCUGUUGUGUCAAUGGCAUAGUAUAGAUGCUGACAUUCUCAAAGGAAGGUCCAUGUUCUCUGUUGCUAGCAUAAAUGAUGGAAUAAUCAUUGUUGGAGGAAAAUCAAAUAUUGGCAAAGUAGUAGGUCCAAUUAAAGAACACAAUGAGGUUGUUUUUUCUAGUGCUGUCACAAUUUCCUGACUCAUGAUUCCCAAUUGUUGAAAAGAAGAUUUUUUUGUAUCAAUUUACAAGUACAUUUUUUCGUUUUCAAGAAAAACAUUCAAUUGGAAGUUGAUAUGCUUAUAUAUCAUAUAUCACAUUCAAGUACAUUUUUUGUUUUCACCAGAAAUAAUAAUUGCAAUACAUACAUGCAUGUUGGAAUAUUAUAAGUAAAGACUUUAGUAGUCUUUGGCACUCAAAAUAAUUGAUCCAUAUUUUGAAAAAGGUUUGUAUAAACUCAUGUUUUGGUUGGGAUGAAUGUUGACUACCAUGAUCUUUAACUUAUUUCAAUUAUUCACUGUGACCUACGUGCAGUAAUUUGACCAUAACUCAAGUUCUAUAAAUUGUUUUGACGUCAGACCAACGACAUUAGAAAGCUAACAUCCAUACCUACAACUUUCGUGUUUACACCUAAGACCAAUUCUGUAUCAAUCAAUACCAGUUUUUAUUUCAUAUUCGGGGCAGAGAUGAAAAGAAAAAUCAGAAGAAAAAAAAAAACCUAUAUUAUUCAACUUCACUUUCAUUCAAAAUCAUCACAAUCAUCACUCUUAACCCUAAUUCUCAAAUUCUCAAAAACUAAAUCUACAACAUAUUAAAUACAAUUUUCAGAAUCAUAGACUCAAGAUUAUUGAAUGUUAGUCCCACCCUUACCUUAAGAUUAACGAUCGACAGCCUUUCCUCUUGGUUCUUCUCUUCUCUUGUUUUUCUCUGACUUCUCACUUUCUCCCUUUUUCUCCCAAAAACAGUUUGCACGAAAUCCUUAUUUUCUAAUUCUCACUCUCUCCUUUUAUAAUAAUCUUUAACCUACUUAUUUUCUCUUAAUUCCAAAUAUGCCCUACAAGUCUUAAUAUUCUAUUCUAAUAUAUAUUAUAAAAUAUUUCUAUAACAAAUAACAAAUAUAUCUCUAUAACAAAUAUAUUUCUAUAAUAUAUAUAUUUCUACACCAAAUAACAUAUAUAUUUCUAAACCAAAUAACAUAUAUAUUAUACUAACAAAUACCAACAUAUAACAUAACAAAAUAUCACUCAUCUAAUUUCCAAAUCAGCUCCCACAACUUAAUCUUAUUUUAUUUUCAAAUCUUAUUCUAUUAAAUAAUAAAAUAAGCCACUUAAUAAAUCACAUAAUCAUAUAAAUAUAUUAUAAACUUAUUAAAACAAUCAAAUAAAUCAAAUUCAAAGAGGGCGUUACACCCACCCCCCAUGAUUUUAGAUUCAAUUUCAAUAGUUUUGCUUCAAGAAAUUUUGAGGAUUUUGGCUUUCAAAUUCAAUAUGAAAAAAAUUAGGGUUUGAAGAUUUUUGAAUUGGGGAAGAACUGGACCAUUUAUAAUUGGAGGAUAUUUUGGAGAUUUUAAAGUGUAAAUUACAGAUUGUGUAAUUAGGGUUUCAAUGUUAUACAAUUAGAUUUUAAAGUGUAAUUAGGCUUUCAAUUUCAAUAUAUUUACUAAAUCCAAUUAAUUUUAUUUGUAUGUGCAUCUAUAAAUUUACGAGUAUUUAAAAUAUGGUGUAUUUUAUUAUAUUUAUGUGUAUUUAUUAAGAUAUUCAUCCUAUAUUAAUCCGUAAUAAAUUUUAUUUGCAAUAUCAACAUAUAAGAUGGUGUCAAUUGAGAUAGAGCCAUGAACUAUAAAUUGUUAAUCCAAAAAAAUGGAAAUCGAAAACAAAAUGAAAAAGUUAGUAGGUCUCAGAUGGAGUCACGUAAAACUUUCAAUAUAAGACUAGCUACAAUGGGGUGUUGAAUUUGGGAUUCAACAUGUUGAAGCCAUGCAAUGAGGGGUGUUGAAAGAAGGAAAAAUCUGAGUUGGAGGAGGGAAGUGAUGAAAGAGUUCAACUAGUUGAAUGCCUGCCACGGGGGACAGCUGUCGCGUGUAACACCCCGUUACCCAAAUGUAAAUAAAUAACAAAUAAUCAUCAGAGUAAUUCACCAAAAACGGGUAUGCCACAUUUCAAAAAUCAAAAUUCUUAAAUAGCAUAUGAAACUAUUUAAUUAAACCACUUGAUAAAAAUGAAAACAUAGCAGCGGAAUGGUUUUCAAAUCCAACAACAGCCUACGGCAUUAAAGGCCUUAGCAUAAUUCAACAACAUUGUUCAAAAGAUAAUAAAGGCUCCACAUCACAAAUCCAAAAUUCGAUACAUGGAAAAGAAACAACAAUGAUAUAAAUAACAGUUCCCAUCCCACGUAUCAGAGCCCUAAACACGACUCUUGAGCCACCACCGACUACUCAGGAUCACCUGCAAGUUACCCAUAGGAAGGGCAACAUUUUCAAGCAGAAGGGGUGAGAUUCACAACAAUAAACAUAGAUAAUAAAUCUUCAAUUGAAUCUAACACCCUAAAACUUCAGUAUAUCAUCUUGCAAAUAUUAAUAAUUUAUUCACAAGUCACAACAACAUCAUCAUAAUAAUCCACUUAAUAAGUAUGUAUACAAUGUACAUAUUACCACAACAUUAACAAUACAACAUGAUCACAAUGAAUAUAUAUAAAUAAAUGUAUAUUCAACAUCAACAUCAUCCAUCAGAUAAAACUGAAACAACAACCAAGACUCAUGCAAAUGACAUGACCACUGCUAAGACACCAUCUUAGACUUCUUAAUGAAAUGCAUUAUGCAUGUGAUACCAAUCAGGACCGAAGCCCUCACCGCUUUUGAAUGGUUAAAGCAUUCAUCAGGACCGAAGCCCUCACCGCUGUUGAGCAACUAGUACUCCAGGACCGAAGCCCUCACCGCUGUUUUUAUGCAUAUGCAAUGGACCUACUUGUGUAUAUCUACAUACAACUGACCAUGCAAUGCAACUCCAUGUGACUCCACUUAAACGACAUGUAUGAUUAAUAAUUAAAACAUACAAUGCAUUCCUCAUCAUCAAUCAACAACCAACAGAGAUUCAACCAUUCAGAAUGAUGCACAAUUAAAUAUAAUUAUGCUUAAACAACAACACUCAAACCUUAUCAUCCAAGCAAGCAAAACUGCACUCAAAACUGCACAGCUCGCCUCGCGAGCACAUCUGCUCGCCACGGCGAGUUCACAGAAACACUAGCUCGCCAUGGCGAGUUCAAGGCGAACUCGAGGCGAGUGGAAAUCAGGUACUCUCGGGAAAAAGUGACAUUUUCUCACUCAAACUCCAAUUCUAAGUUCCCUAUUCAUCUUUUUAACCCAAAACUUCCACCAUUCAUCAUUAAUAUCAUCUAGAUACCUUAAUCCAUUCCCAAAACAUCUUAUAACAACUUUUCAAAAAUCACAUUUUUCUGGGAUUGCUCGCCAUGGCGAGUUGGACUGCUCGCGAGGCGAGUGAUGAAGUUGCUCACUCGCGAAGCGAAGCACGAAUGCUCGCGAGGCGAGCGAUGAACUUCUGUACGGGCAGAAAACUGGUUUUUCCCCAAAAUCCCAUUUUUCUUCCAAUCACUCCCCAAAUCAGUUUACAGAUACAAAAUUAAGCGUUCUAUGCAACCAGAAACCAAUUUUUAACAUCAAAUUCAGGCUUACAACUUCAAAAAUCUCAUUUUCAACAUAACACCCAAAAUCCCCAAAUUUCACUAAAACCUGUUAAACUCAAAAUCAGAAUCUAAAAUCUACACUAUUGAAGUAAACCCUACCCUUACCUUAAAUUUGCAGAAGAAAUGUGCAGCAAAAAUCCACUCUUGGUUCCUCCUUGGUUCUCUCUUGUUUGCUCCCAAAAACUGCUUCUACGUAAAACUGAUUCUAACUUCUCUGUAUAACUUCCCUCUUAAAAGUAACUCCCUUCUAUUUUCAUUUAACUCCCUUUAAUUAUAAUAAAUAUUAAAUAACUCCCCUAACUCCAAAGUAACUAAUAUUUCAUACUUAUUCUAAUUAUUAUUAAAUAAACCAUAUAAUAAAAUAAUACACCACAUAAUUCACCCAAAAUCACACAUAUAUAUAUAAACAUAUGCAUAUAUUCCACAUAAAUCACCAAACCAUCAUAUAUAAAUGUAUAUAUACUCCACAUAGUUUAAAAUUAAUUAAAUAAAUCACUAGGGCGUUACAACUCUCCCCAAAUUACAGAAUUUCGUCCUCGAAAUCUUACCUCAAGCAAACAACUCCGGAUACGACUCUCCAGCUCCCAAGUCAAACUUUCACCAGCCGCUCCACCCCAAACGACUCUCACAAGAGGUAUCUCUUUACCUCUCAAAGACUUCACCUUUCUGUCAUCAAUCCUCAAUGGCAUAGUCUCAACCGUCAGGCUGUCCCUAACCUGCACGUCAUCAUCCCUCGGGAUCACAUGAGAAGGAUCCGCAACAUACUUCCGAAGCUGAGAAACAUGAAACACAUCGUGCAAGUUCGAAAGGUGUGGUGGCAAACCAACUCUAUAUGCCACUGUACCAACUCUCUCUGAAAUCUGAUACGGACCAAUGAAUUUAGGAGUCAACUUUCUCGACUUCAAAGCACGACCGACACCCGUCAAAGGAGUGACCCUCAGAAAAACAUGAUCACCCUCCUGAAACUCAAGAUCCUUUCUUCGCUUGUCAUGGUAACUCUUCUGUCGACUCUGCGAAGCUUUCAUCUUUUCUCUUAUCAACCUGACUUUCUCAGUAGUCUCAUGAACUAAAUCCGGUCCCAACACAAUACUUUCACCCGACUCAAACCAGCACAAAGGAGUCCUACACCUCCGACCAUACAAGGCUUCGAACGGUGCCAUACCAAUACUCGAGUGAUAGCUGUUGUUAUAAGUGAACUCAAUCAAAGGCAAGUGACUGUCCCAAGCUCCACCUUGCUCAAGCACACACACCCUCAACAAAUCUUCCAAUGAUUGAAUUGUCCUCUCCGACUGACCAUCUGUUUGAGGAUGAUAAGCCGAACUCAACCUCAACUUCGAACCCAAGGCGUCCUGCAAACAUUUCCAGAACCUAGAAGUGAACCUCGGAUCUCUAUCCGACACAAUACUAACGGAACACCAUGAAGCUUCACCACACUGUGAAUAUAAAUCUCUGCUAACUGCGCUACCGGAUAACUGAUAUUGAUAGGAAUGAAGUGUGCCGACUUCGUCAACCGGUCGACAACAACCCAAAUAGCGUCAUGCCCCCUCGGAGUGUUCGGUAAACUCGUCACAAAAUCCAUAGAGAUACUGUCCCACUUCCACUCCGGUACAUCUAACGGUGUCAACAACCCUGCAGGCUUCUGAUGCUCAACCUUAGACUUCUGACAAAUCAAACAGGCAUAAACAAACUGAGCAACAUCUCUUUUCAAACCGGACCACCAAAACAAUUUCUUCAAAUCAUGGUACAUCUUUGUAGCCCCCGGGUGAAUACUCAACCUACUCUUGUGACUCUCCUCAAGAAUCAACUUCUUCAACUCUUCAUUGUCAGGAAUACAAACUCUACCUCUGAACCUCAGCACACCCUGAUCAUCAACCUUAAAAUCACUAUCCUCAGUGUCAUUACCAGAAGUCAUCAAAUCAACAAACUUCAAACUUUUAUGAUCACUGAACACCUCAAAUCUGGAACCGUACAAAUAAUGCCUCCAGAUUUUCAAAACAAAAACCACUGCAGCUAACUCCAAGUCAUGUGUAGGAUAAUUCUUCUCAUGAACACGCAAUUGCCUAGAAGCAUAUGCUACCACCUUACCAUCUUGCAUCAGAACACCACCUAGGCCCAGCUUAGAUGCAUCACAAUACACAACAAACGGUUCUUCUGGUUUAGGCAAAAUCAAAACAGGAGCAGUUGUCAGUCUUCGCUUCAACUCAUUGAAACUACUCUCACACUGAGCAUCCCACACAAAAGACUUACCCUUACAGGUCAACUGUGUCAACGGAAGAGCCAAUUUCGAAAACCCUUCUAUGAACCUGCGGUAAUAACCAGCCAAACCCAGAAAACUUCUGAUCUCAGUUACCGACUUCGGAGUCUCCCAUUGUGAUACCGCAUCAACCUUUGAAGGAUCCACUGCAAUACCACUACCAGAAAUAAUGUGACCCAGAAAGCUCACUUCACUUAACCAGAACUCACAUUUUGACAACUUAGCAUACAACCUCUUUUCCUUCAACACUUGCAAUACAAUUCUCAGAUGCCCUGCAUGCUCUUCCUCGUUCUUGGAAUAAAUCAAGAUAUCAUCAAUGAACACCACAACAAACUUAUCUAGAAAAGCAUGGAAGAUUCGAUUCAUGUACUGAUGAAGGAUUUUUACCUCUCAUAAAACUAUUUACACGUAAGUAUAUAUAGGAUCGUGUCCACAGGGAGUUGCGUAUUUCAUAAGCAUUUUCACAAUAUUUGUCACGUUAAGUGUUUGGGUAUAAAUUGUUUGUUUGUGUAAAACUAUUUUCCUAAUCAACAUGAAAGUAAAGCGAGAAGAGAUAGGGCUAUUUCGCUUGCGGUCAGAGACAUCAACCAAGCGUAACAGCUGCAAUCUCUCGAUCGAUUAACGGAUUCUAGCUUUUUAAACUAUAUUAUCACAAUCACUCGACAAUAUCAUUCGUGUCCAAAUGAUAUCGUUAUUUCUAAGGGAUCGUUUAAACAUCGAUUUCCCAAACAUUUAAACGAUCACAAAGUCGAUUGGGUAGUUUAAUCGACGAUUUCCCAACCGAUUAAAUUACCCAAAAGCAUUAAGUCCUAGAUUAAAAGUGAUUAUCAAAUAUUAACAUCCAUGUCUAGAGUGAUAACUUAAGAUAGAUUGUUAUUCUAUUUCUAGAUUCAAAAGUAUGUGUCCAUAUCAUUUUGAAUCUCAAUAAAACAAUACAAGCAAGAAUAACAACAAUAUUGAAUAAAUAAGCUAGAACCAUAUAUUAAAAGAUCAAAGGAUUACAUAAUAGCUUGUUUGAAUACCUCAAAACUACAAGAGUAGAUGUAGCUACAUAUGUCUAUGAUAGCUUUGCAAAGGAUGAAGAAAGGGUGAAGAUUCCAUGACAAGAUCCAUGAUGUCUCAACAAAUCUUGGCUCGAAUCUACUCCUAACUACCUUGCUUUGUGUUUCUCUCUCUAGAAAAGCCCUAGUCUCUCUCUAAAACCAGAAAAAUAUGAAUAAAAAUGUAAUAAUAUAUCAUGGAAAGAGAAGAGAAAACUAUUUAUAUGGGCUGACUGCGUGUCAGCACGCUUAAGCGUGCUAAGGUCGCUUAAGCGAGCUACCAAAAAUAUCUUCCUUUGGCCAAUUGGGAGCUGCCACGUGUGCCUUAUCGUAUUAAUCUGAUGAACUUCGCUUAAGCGUGUGAGAAGCGAGCUGAAAGCGUGCAAAUCUGGUACUCACUGGACAAACUUCGCUUAAGCGUGACACAGGUCGCUUAAGCGUGCAGCUCUUUUCUUCAUAAGCAUGCUGCAAGCGUCUGGAAAAGCGAAGAUCUUGAUGCUCUCUGGAGCUGGUUCGCUUAAGCGAACAGGAGGUCGCUUAAGCGACCAUCUCUUGGUUCAGGAAGUUCUUUCUUGGUCCUUGCUUGUCGUUUCCUGCAUAAAUUGGGUAGUGUUAUACCCUGUUUUUGGACCUAAAAAUACUGGGCCCAAUUUCGUUUCAAACUUUGUCAAUUAUUAAAUUUCAACUGCACAGUUCAAAUUGUCUCUGCCUCGCAGUAUUUUCAAUCACAAUUUCAUCUAUGUUUUUCUUGCAUAAAACCUUUUGAAAUGUCUUUACUUGUCUUAUAAGUCAUUCAAAAGUGUCUCUGAAUCAUUACAUUGCUUUUUUCUACAGUUUAUUUCAAAAUUUGCAAAAAAGUCAUACAGAAGGGUAUUUUGGUCAUUUCCUGCAGUGGGACCCAUUUUCAUCCUUGUGACUGUCUCCGAGUCUUUUCAAAUUGUUUUUAAACAUUUCAUCAGUAAGCCUUAUCAAAUUCAUUUCAAACUUGCAUCCGAGUCAGUGUCAAGUCGAUUUGAUUCUGUUUAGGUCAUUUUUAGCCCUAGGGGCAUUUUGGUCAUUUCACACAAAAUUUUGGCAUAGAGAGGUUACUUUGAAGUACCUCAUUUAGGUCAUUGGUUCGUUUUAGUCCGUUUUGUCAAUUUUAUUUUAGUUUCACUUUACGUUUUGUCAGGUUACCAAUUUUAUUCCAAUUUUAUUUUUUAUUUUAUUUUACAUUUUAGUCCCCAAAGAGGUCCAAAAUUGCAUUCCAGUCCAAUUUUCUUUCCAAUAUACAUUUCAGUCCUUUUUGGUUAAUUGCAGUUUAGUCCUCAAUUUCUUUGUUUUUGCAGAAAGGUCCAAAUUUCUUUUUUGUCCAAGGCCGUGCCACUCUUAUACAAUUCCAGGUGUCACCUUUUUAUUGGAUCUCAAGUACACAUGUCAACUAUAAAUACAGUGAGUCAGAUUCAGAGCCAUUAAUUACACGCCAACUCAUAAACACAAACUCAAUUUUCUCUUUCUCAGCAAUUGGAUCAAGACAGAAAAGUUUCUCAGAAUCUCUCAAGAACACCAAGAACACAAAACCCUAACCGUUUUCCAGAAAUCAAAAUUCAUCAGAAUCAACAGUUUUUUGGAUCAAUUCUCAGAGAUUCUGUGGAAUCUUCAUCAUUGGAUUGAUCGUUCUCUGCAAUUCCAAACGCGAGCUCGCAUUGAAGCAAGCUCAAGCGUUGAUCACAGAGCGUGAAAAGAAGAAGGAAAGAAGCAGAAUCUGCAGAAUCUGGACCGGUGAAGCAAGCAGAAGAAUCAAGAAUCAUCAGAAAACACAGAAUCAAGUUUUUCCAAAGAUUUCCUCCAUUAAAGGUUUCAACCAAAACCUUAGGUAAAACUCAGAAUCUCUUCUCAGAAAAUAAUAUCAUAGUUUAACCCUGUAAAAAAUCACGCAAGCAAGCAUAUCAAAAAAAUUUCCAGAAUUCAAAGAAAACCGUAACCGUAAGCACGAAACCUAGAUCCAUAAGGAUCUAAGUUUUGAAAACAAGAACGAAUACCAGAAGAGUAAUCAAACGACGAAACGAUGUAGAUCUUUAAAGAUCUAAACGUUUUUGUUCAAAAAUCAAAAAUCAUUUCAAAACCGUAUAAAGUUUUUCCAAGAUCUACGUCGUUUCAAGCUGUGUUUGGAAAAAUAAUUGCUGGAUUCGUGUUUAGGGUUAAAGGACGAAUCAAAAGAUGCAAGAAUCUUUGAAAUCUGGAAAAUUAGGUCACCGGAAACUGCAUGAACUCGCCGGAGAAGAUGAAGUUUCCGGCGGACCUUCAAGGUCUCCGCCGUAGCUUCAUCCUCGCCGGCGGCGAGGUUAGAGAGAGGUGAGAGACGAGAGAAGAGAGAAGAGCUAGAGAGAGAAUGAGAGCAGCAAAAUGAAAUAAACCGGAGCUCCUUCCUUUUUAUAAGCCAGCGAACCAGACCGGUCCAGUCCGGUCCAUUCUCCUUUGAUUCCUGGCCGUUUGAUCUAGGGUUUCAGGAUCCUGGAUCAAUCGUAUGGUUCCUGUGCAACCGGAUCUUUUAGGUUUGGGCUUUGGGUUUGGGCUCAAGUUUCUUUUACGUUUUUUUGCUUUUUUGCUACCUGCACCCUGUUUCUUUGCUAUUUGAACCUCUGCAUACUUAAUUUUUCUUAAUAAAAUUUCUAAAAAAAUUAUCACAUGUUUCUUGAUGUAUUUUCAUGCUUUUGUGAUACUUUUCAAUAGUUUUAAAAAUGGUAAAAAUACAUGUGAUAUUUUCUCGUUUAAUUAGGUAUUUUGAUACAAAUUUGUGCAUUUUUUAGUAGUGCAUUCUCUCAAAAGAUGAUGGCAUAUGUUGUGAAUGAUUAAUAGGCAAUUUUAUGAUAAAUUUGUUGCUGAUCCUAUGUGUGGCUUGCUGCUUGUGAAUAUGAAUCUUAUUUUUCUUCUUGCCUUGCAAUUAGUAUGUGUUUUAAUAAUAAAUAAGGUGCAAAAUGUCUUGAAAAUGUGUCAUGUGUAACGCCCUAGUCAUUAUUUUAUUAUUUUUGGAAUUAUUUAGAGUCUUUUAUGCAUUUUAUAAAAUAUGUGUGCUUUGUUUGGUGUAUAAUAUUUAUUUAUAUAAUUUAUUUAAUAUAAAUAGAAUAAUAGAGAUAAUAGAAUUAUUUAGGAGGUUAGGGAUUAAUUAGAAAUUAAUAGUAAUAAGGGAGGGUUUAAUGAAAAAAAAAGGAGGUUAUGGUUUUGGAAAGUCAAGGAAAGAAAAAGGAGUGAAAACUGUUUUAACGUAAAAACAAGUGGGGAAGAGAAAAGCUAAGGCAAGGGAGAAGACCAAGAGAGAAGAACUAGAAAAUCGAUUGUUGAGCUUUCUUUGUCUUUGCAAUUCUAAGGUAAGGGUGGGAUUAUCUUUCAAUGAUUAUAAUGUAUAAUUUCUGAAAAGUAAUCUAAUUGAAUAGUUUUUAAGAAUAAUAUGAAAAUUAGGGUUUGAUGAUGAUUCUGAUGGAAUGGGUAAAGAUGAUGUUAGUUUUUCUCGGAAUUUAACGUUAAGAAUGAAAGCUUAACCCAUGUUGUUGCUGCAAUCCAUUAAUUGAUUGAAUUUUUGAUGAAUUGUAUGAAUUGAUGAAUAUUUGUAUGUUGGUAGAAUGUUUCUGUAAUCGUUGCUGCUGAUGGUUGAAUUGUGUAUUCUUUAUUAGGCCUAGUUGUAUAUAGGACCUGUAAACAUCUAUUGGAAAACAUUUUGGGUGAUCAGGGGAUUAAAAUGGGGUUUUUGGAGUGAGAAGGAGUCUGAAACCGUAGGUUUUGCACUGCCCAGAUGAAUGGUCGCUUAAGCGAAGCACCCGUCGCUUAAGCGAGCAUUCAAGCAAGCUGCCCAGAAUGCGAUUUUACCCGUUCGCUUAAGCGAACUGUGAGCGAACUAGUAAGCGAAAAUUAAGUUUGAUUCUGCCAAGAAUUCGCUUAAGCGAAUGGUAAGCGACUCUGUGAGCGAAAAACCAUUUUGAUUCUGUCCAAAUUUCGCUCAAGCGAACUUGUGAGCGAACCGUGAGCGAACCUGAACCUAGAUUUUCCUGUAGCUGGUCGCUUAAGCGAACUGGGUCUUAGUUAACCUUUUCUGAAUUUUGCUUCGUGCACUAGGGGUUCCUUUUUUAGUACUUCUAAGUGUUUUCUUUAGCUUGUAUAACCCUUGUAUAGGUAUUAAAUCUUGAUUAUACUGCAACGUUAAAUUGAUUGAUUAAUCUUGUGAAUUUUGGAGAGUUUGUAAUUGCAUUAAAGGGUGGUGAGUCAUAUAAGUACAUAUGCAUUUGUUGUCGAGUUGUAUGCAGAUAUACACAAGUGGAGUCAGUUGCAUAAGCAUAAAAACGAUGAGAACUUCGGUUCUGGAACGCUUUGUCGUUCAAAACGAUGGAACACGAUGUUGUUCAAAACGAUGUUAACGAUGAGGACUCAUGUCCUGAUAAAAGAAUGCUUUAACCAUUCUAUAACGAUGAGAGCUUCGGCUCUGAAAUGGUACCACAUGCAUAAUUGCAUUAGUUGAGGAGUCUUAGUAGAGUUGUCGUGUCUUGCAUGAGUCGUAGAAGUGAAGUCGAGCAGUUGCAUGAGUCAAAGUUACUGUUGACAUUAUUGAUGAAUGAAUGAAGUUGUUAAUGAAUGUUAUAUUAUGAUUGUUGAAUGAUUAUGAUGAUAGGGUGUUAGAUUCAUUUAUGUUAUUAUAUAUUAUUAUUAUUGUUUGAGAAUCUCACCCCUUCUGUUUGAAUGUUGCCUCGACCGUGGGUAACGUGCAGGUGAUUCCGAGUAGUAGGUGUGGUGGCUCACAAAGUUUAGGGCUCUGAUACGUGGGAUGGGGUUUUAUUAUUUGAAUUCUUUUCUAUGUAUCAACUUUGAAUUAUAACUGAUGUAGUUAUUUGGUGAUCGACUGUUAUGUUGAAAUGGCCUUUAUGCCAAGAAUAAUUAUUGUAGAAUGAAUGAUGAUGAAAAUAAUCCGCUGCGAGUUAAUGACAAUUUUAUGAACGACGUUUGAUUAAAUAGAUUUUUAUAUAUCCUCUAUUUAACCAUUUUUAAAUGAAGAAAUGUAGCAUGCUCGUUAUGAUUACUCUGAUUAUUUUGUAUUAUUACUAUUUAAGUAAUUUUGGGAAACGGGGUGUUACAUCAUGAGUUUUAGCUUGAAUAUGUCCUAUUAAUUCUCACCUUAUGGCACAAAGCAAGACUUCUAAAAAUUUGCCAUAAUGAAGGGAUCAUAGGUCAUGCACAUGCUAGAGUUUUAGGGCCACUUUCAUGCACAUUUUGUCACUUUAUUAGUCUCUUUUAUGUCUUUCCUCUUAAUAUUUUUGUGCACUUCUUUUAUUCUAGGCUUCAUUUUACUAACUAUUUCAUCUCAUGUGUCAUACAUUUCAUAGCAUUCCACUACCUCCUCCACUUUCUUUAGCUUAGCAUUUAUUUUUGCAAAUUUUAAUUCAUUUGGUGAUGUAAUUUGUUAUCAUUGGUUUGUAGCUUGGCAAAGGGGCCAUAGAAUGUAUUUAGGCAAUUUUUGUAAUAUGGACUAUGGACACUAUGACGCACCGACACGCACACACUCACCCUAGAUGUAUGUUUAGGAUUGUAUGCAUAGAUGUAUGGCUAGGAUUGCAUGAUUAGGUGAACGUUUAGUUUCGAACACUUAGAGAAAAUCCAACUUUUUUCCAAAAAUACGCAAAUAAAUUCACUUCAAAUAUUUUUAUAAAAAAUGGAGUCAAAACUCCAAUAACUUUUCCCUUUUAUUUUCUUAAGUAAAAUUUCUAACAAAUCUUAACUAUACUUGGACUUUAUUUUGAAAAAGACUAAUUCCACCUCACCUUUUCCAAAAUCUCAUGCCCUUGAGGCCUCUCAUCUCUAUUCUUCAAAAUCUCUUUUCAAACUUAAAAUCAACCAACAAAAACAAAAACUAUUUUUUGAGAAUGAACUACGCCGGUUUUGAUCCCGUAAAACGGUACGUAGGCAAGGGACUUUAACCCCUCCAAGCCGAAAUAAAAUCAAAUUCUACUUCUUCUCACCCCCAUUCUUCACUAAUCAUACCUUUGUUUUUUACAAAUAGGCAAUAAAACUAAAGCGUAGAAAUAAACUUAGGAGAGCGGUUCUUAUGGAAUACCAUAAUCACUCCGGGUGCCUAACACCUUCCCGUAGCGAAAACGACCCCCGAAUUCGGAAACUCAAGGGUUUUUCUCCUUUUACCCUUCCCAAGAAAAAAGAGAGAUAUCAACGGUCAAAAGGUUCAAGUCCAACUAAUGGCUUGGCACCCAAAAACCAUGAUAACAGAAAUGGCGACUUCACUGGGGAUUCUUUUUUAGCGGGUCGCGCCUAGUUUUCCUUAGUUUAUAUUUACGCUUUGUUUUAUUGCAUAUGUAAAUACUUGUUUAUUUUCAUUUAACGUGUGGGGUGAGAAUAUCAAAAGUCCUAUACCCGGGCUGAGUGAACUUAUGUUUAGGUAGAGAUAUAAUCGACAAUUCGAUCCGGGGGUUGCCUCGUGUAUUGGAUUAUGCGAUCAAUCUCACAUAGCUGAGGCAUUUUGAAGGUGAUAUUGUCGGCGUGUGUUGUCAUGCUUAGGCAUUUCACUUUCAAUUGUUCGACGAAGCUAUGAACCGUAGUUACCAAACCCAUCCUAGCCUUUUUAGGACGUAGUGCGGUGGCUAAAUUGAGUGUUGUCUCAAACUUUAGUCGUCACGCGAUACUACACUCAAACUAGACCUUCUCACAAAUAAUCAUGGAACGGGUGUCGUCCUGUACUACCAUGAUAUAUGUGAGAGAGGUUGCAGUUUGGGAACUGUGUUAGAACCUUGGUUACUACUAUCCAAGGCCUUAGUUCACCGGACGCCGUGUCCAUCCGUGGCCCCGUUACUUUGAAACUCAACCCACUUUGUUCUUUAACAACACAAUCAUGCAUACAUGCAUUCAUGCAUAAACAUUUUUCAUGCAUUCAUCGAAGGGUUUAAACAAAUGGAAAUUUUUGUAAAUAAUCACAGGUAUGAAGAAGACUAAGUGCUACAAGUUCAAGGAGGUGGAUUUGGUUAGUUUGAGAGAGUUAGCACUCAAGGUCAAGAGUCAAACAGGGUUCCGACUCCGAUAUGGGGGAUUGCUUACUUUGCUCCGAACCGAUUUGGACGAGAAGCUAGUGCACACUCUAGUGCAAUUUUAUGAUCCGAACUUCCGUUGCUUCACUUUCCCGGACUUCCAGUUGGUUCCUACUCUCGAGGCUUACUCCAAUCUAGUGGGUUUACCUAUAGCCGAGAAGACACUUUUCACCGGUCCCGGGACUUCUCUUACUCCUCUGGUUAUUGCUAAGGAUCUCUACCUCAAGACUUCCGACGUCUCCAACCAUCUUAUUACCAAGUCUCACAUCCGGGGGUUCACUUCGAAGUAUCUUCUUGAGAAGGCUAAUCUCAGUACUACUCGUCAGGAUACACUCGAGGCUAUUCUUGCUUUGCUUAUCUACGGGCUCAUUCUCUUUCCGAACCUCGAUAACUUCGUGGACAUGAAUGCUAUCGAGGUCUUCCAUUCCAAGAACCCGGUUCCUACUUUACUAGCAGACACCUACCACGCCAUUCAUGACAGGACUCUCAAGGGCCGUGGGUAUAUUCUUUGCUGCAUAUCUCUUUUGUAUAGGUGGUUUAUUUCGCACCUUCCGAGUUCCUUCCAUGACAACUCGGAGAAUUGGUCCUACUCGCAGCGGAUUAUGGCUCUCACUCCUAAUGAGGUCGUCUGGCUCACUCCUGCCGCUCAAGUGAAGGAAAUCAUUAUGGGUUGCGGAGACUUUCUCAAUGUACCUCUUCUUGGUACCCGUGGAGGAAUCAACUACAACCCCGAGCUUGCUAUGAGACAGUUUGGUUUCCCUAUGAAGUCGAAGCCCAUCAAUCUUGCUACAUCUCCAGAGUUCUUCUUCUACACGAAUGCUCCUACCGGACAAAGGAAAGCUUUCACGGAUGCUUGGUCCAAGGUUCGAAGGAAGAGUGUGAAGCAUCUAGGUGUGAGAUCCGGGGUUGCUCAUGAGGCCUACACUCAGUGGGUGAUAGAUCGAGCUGGGGAGAUUGGUAUGCCUUAUCCAGCUAUGAGAUACGUGUCUUCAUCCGCCCCAUCUAUGCCUCUACCUCUGCUCCCUGCGACUCAGGAUAUGUAUCAGGAGCAUCUAGCUAUGGAGAGUCGUGAGAAGCAAGUGUGGAAAGCUCGGUACAAUCAAGCUGAGAAUCUAAUCAUGACUUUGGAUGGUAGAGAUGAGCAGAAGACUCAUGAGAAUCUGAUGUUGAAGAAAGAACUAGCUAAGGCCCGGAGGGAAUUGGAAGAGAAAGACGAGCUGCUUAUGAGGGAUUCCAAGAGAGCCCGAGGACGACGAGAUUUCUUUGCCAGAUACUGUGAUUCAGAUUCCGAGUCCGAUGAUCCUCCAACUACCUCCUAUGCUUGAGGGCUUCAUUUGUUUAUCUUGUUGAAAUUUCAAAGUCUUCCUUUUGAAAAUGCUAUGUAGUUUUGAUUAUUUGCAAGAUUUCUAAUUUGUUUAAAAAUCCUUCGAUGAAAAAAUAAGUCUUUUGCAUUUGCAUUUGCAUAUCAUGCAUCAUAUGCAUCAUGCAUUGGUCACAAAGGCUUCCAAGUGCUCACUCUCUCCUGGUUUCUCUGCCUCAGUGUGAAAGGUGGCUCGUGCUCAGAGGGUCUACGAACCUGAUAGAAUCGAUCGAACCAGAGAAUACAGAAGAAAGAAAAGGGCUAUGGAAGAAGAGAACACGCAGCUUCGUACCGAAUUGGCAUCUUUAAAGGAGGAAUUGGCCAAAGCUCAUGAUGCUAUGACUGCUCUGUUGGCUGCUCAGGAACAACCAGUUCCCGUAGUUUCUACAGCUGCAAAUGUGACUCCUAUCGUAACAACUGAUCCCCGCCUUAUCAUGCCAUCCGGGUAUCCUUACGGACUUCCGCUGUACUAUACUGCUAAUACAAGGGCAGGGACCUCUGGUACUACCAACAAUGGCCCAAUCCCAGGGGCAAACUUAACUCCUGUUAGUACCGCCUUGACUCAAGCCGUAACAACUGUUACCGAGCCCAUUGUGAAUACGGUGCCUCAAUUUGUCCAUGUUAAUGCGCACCGCGGGAGUAUUGCCACUACCGGAACUAUGGAAGAGAGAAUGGAAGAACUUGCCAAAGAGCUCCGACGGGAAAUUAAGGCCAACAGGGGAAACGGAGACUCCAUUAAAACCCAUGAUCUCUGCUUAGUAUCGAAGGUAGAUGUUCCAAAAAAGUUCAAAGUCCCGGAGUUCGACAAGUAUAACGGGCUGACUUGUCCUCAAAAUCAUAUUGUCAAAUAUGUUCGGAAGAUGGGCAACUACAAGGACAAUGAUUCCCUUAUGAUCCAUUACUUCCAAGACAGUCUGAUGGAAGAUGCUGCAGAGUGGUAUACUAGUCUGAGCAAAGACGAUGUCCAUACUUUUGAUGAGCUAGCCGCUGCUUUCAAGAGCCACUACGGGUUUAACACUCGAUUGAAGCCGAAUAGGGAGUUUCUCAGGUCCCUAUCUCAGAAAAAGGAGGAAAGUUUCCGUGAAUAUGCGCAAAGGUGGAGAGGGGCAGCUGCCCGUAUCACUCCUGCUUUAGAUGAAGAAGAAAUGACCCAGACUUUCUUAAAGACCUUGAAAAAAGAUUAUGUUGAGAGGAUGAUCAUAGCUGCCCCGAACAACUUUUCGGAAAUGGUCACCAUGGGAACCCGUCUUGAGGAAGCCGUCAGGGAUGGAAUUAUUGUGUUUGAGAAAGCUGAAUCCUCUGUGAAUGCAUCGAAGAGAUAUGGUAAUGGACACCACAAGAAGAAAGAAACGGAAGUGGGGAUGGUGUCAGCUGGAGCCGGUCAAUCCAUGGCUACCGUUGCUCCUAUCAAUGCAGCUCAAAUGCCUCCGUCAUACCCAUAUAUGCCGUAUUCCCAGCAUCCUUUCUUUCCGCCAUUUUAUCAUCAGUACCCUUUGCCACCGGGCCAACCUCAGGUUCCUGUCAAUGCCAUCGCUCAACAGGUACAACAGUUGCCAGUUCAACAACAACAACAAAAUCAGCAAGCUAGACCUACUUUCCCUCCGAUACCUAUGUUGUAUGCAGAGCUUCUUCCAACUUUACUCCAGAGAGGACACUGCACAACUAGACAGGGUAAGCCCCCACCUGAUCCGUUGCCUCCAAGGUUCAGGUCUGAUCUCAAAUGUGAUUUUCAUCAAGGUGCCCUAGGUCAUGAUGUCGAGGGGUGUUAUGCUUUGAAGUAUAUCGUGAAGAAGCUCAUUGAUCAAGGGAAGCUGACCUUUGAGAAUAAUGUCCCACACGUCCUCGACAAUCCUCUUCCAAAUCAUGCCGCUGUGAAUAUGAUCGAAGUGUGUGAGGAAGCUCCUAGACUUGAUGUCCGCAACAUCGCAACUCCUCUGGUGUCUCUACACAUCAAGCUGUGCAAAGCCUCUCUGUUCAGCCAUGAUCAUGCCAAGUGUCUAGGAUGCCUCCGUGAUCCUUUGGGUUGCCAUGCUGUUCAGGACGACAUCCAAAGCUUGAUGAAUGAUAAUUUUCUGACUGUCAGUGAUGUUUGCGUGAUUGUGCCAGUUUUUCACGAUCCGCCUGUCAAGAGUGUACCUUUGAAGAAGAAUGCUGAACCUUUGGUGAUAAGGUUGCCAGGACCAAUUCCUUAUGUUUCGGACAAGGCAGUCCCGUACAAAUACAAUGCUACUAUGAUAGAAAAUGGAGUAGAGAUGCCUCUAGCCUCCUUUGCCACAGUAAGCAAUAUUGCCGAAGGGACUUCUGCAGCGCUAAGAAGUGGGAAGGUUCGUCCGCCGUUAUUUCAGAAGAAGGUAGCUACACCGACCAUUCCACCAGUUGAAGAAGUAACUCCAACCGUUGUUUCACCCAUUGCUACAGAUAUGAACCAGUCAGGCAAAUCUAUAGAGGAUUCGAACUUAGAUGAGAUUCUGAGAAUAAUAAAGAGGAGCGACUACAAGAUCGUUGAUCAAUUGCUGCAAACUCCUUCAAAGAUAUCUGUCUUGUCGUUACUCUUGAGCUCUGAGGCUCACAGGAAUACUUUGUUCAAAGUGCUGGAGCAGGCUUAUGUUGACCACGAAGUUACGGUAGAUCGUUUCGGUGGCAUAGUGGGAAAUAUUACUGCUUGUAACAACCUCUGGUUUAGUGAAGAAGAGUUGCCGGAAGUGGGAAAGAGUCACAAUCUGGCUUUGCACAUCUCAGUGAAUUGUAAAUCAGACAUGAUAUCAAAUGUGUUGGUGGAUACGGGUUCCUCCCUCAAUGUAAUGCCCAAGACAACUCUAGAUCAGUUGAGCUACCGAGGGACCCCUUUGAGAAGAAGUACUUUCUUGGUCAAAGCUUUUGAUGGAUCUCGAAAGAAUGUGCUGGGGGAGAUAGACUUGCCGAUAACCAUUGGCCCUGAGAAUUUCUUGGUUACUUUCCAAGUGAUGGACAUUAAUGCAUCCUACAGUUGUCUGCUGGGAAGACCGUGGAUACACGAUGCGGGCGCGGUAACCUCCACCUUACAUCAGAAGUUGAAGUUUGUGAAGAAUGGAAAACUCGUUACAAUCCAUGGUGAAGAAGCAUACUUAGUCAGCCAGCUGUCUUCCUUCUCUUGUAUUGAAGCAGGGUCUGCUGAAGGGACUGCUUUCCAAGGUUUGACCAUUGAAGAUGCAGAGCCUAAGAAAGCUGGGGCUGCUAUGGCUUCUUUGAAGGAUGCACAGAGAGCCGUCCAAGAGGGUCAAGCUGCCGGUUGGGGCAAGGUGAUACAGCUCUGUGAGAACAAGCGUAAAGAAGGUCUCGGGUUCUCCCCGUCAUCAAGGGUUUCCUCGGGAGUCUUCCACAGUGCAGGGUUUGUUAAUGCUAUCUCUGAAGAAGCCACUGGAUCUGGUCUCAGGCCUGUAUUUGUUACACCAGGAGGCAUUGCGACAGAUUGGGAUGCCAUUGACAUUCCUUCAAUCAUGCAUGUUUCUGAGUAAUGUGUCUUGUUGCUUUAGUGCUUUGUUUUCAAAAUAACAAUCCUCUCGCUCUGCCCAAAGCGAGAGUGAUAUUUUCUGUAAGGGCAUGUUUGUUUCGGCAUUGCCGUUGAUUAAUAAAAUUUUGUCGUUUCUUCCACGACUACUUUUUUUUAGUGCUUUUUCCCUUGGAAACAAUGGUAAUGCCAGAAAAAACCAAAACGUCUGUAUUUUCUUAUUAAUUUCAAAAAUCUGCAUGAAAAAAAAAAAAAAAAAAAAAACUCUUUCUAAAAUCAUCCAAUCAUUAUAUGCAGGUUGAACCAUAAUAAACCCGUUGAACACAGUAAUCCUACGGUUCCUCCAAGUUUUGAUUUCCCUGUGUAUGAAGCCGAAGAUGAGGAAGGUGAUGACAUACCAUAUGAGAUCACUCGGUUACUUGAGCAAGAAAAGAAAGCCAUUCAGCCUCACCAGGAAGAGAUUGAGCUUAUCAACAUAGGUACCGAGGAAAACAAGCAAGAAAUCAAGAUUGGUGCUACUCUAGAGGAAGGGGUUAAACGGAAGAUCAUCCAACUCCUCCGGGAAUAUCCGGAUAUUUUUGCAUGGUCGUAUGAAGAUAUGCCAGGGCUAGACCCUAUGAUUGUGGAGCAUCGGAUCCCCACCAAGCCUGAAUGUCCUCCCGUCAGGCAGAAAUUGAGAAGGACUCAUCCAGAUAUGGCUCUCAAGAUUAAGAGCGAGGUCCAAAAACAGAUUGAUGCGGGUUUCCUCAUGACGGUUGAGUACCCUGAAUGGGUUGCCAAUAUUGUACCUGUGCCAAAGAAGGAUGGUAAAGUCCGGAUGUGUGUUGACUUCAGAGACCUGAACAAAGCCAGUCCAAAAGACAACUUUCCAUUGCCUCAUAUUGAUGUGCUUGUUGAUAAUACUGCUCAGUCUAAGGUGUUUUCCUUCAUGGACGGUUUCUCCGGUUACAAUCAGAUCAAAAUGUCUCCUGAAGAUAGAGAAAAGACGUCUUUUAUCACUCCAUGGGGUACUUUCUGCUACAAAGUGAUGCCAUUCGGUCUAAUUAAUGCUGGUGCUACCUACCAAAGAGGGAUGACUACCCUGUUUCAUGACAUGAUCCACAAAGAAGUCGAAGUAUAUGUGGAUGAUAUGAUUGUGAAGUCAACAGAUGAGGAACAACAUGUUGAGUAUUUGACGAAGAUGUUUGAAAGGUUGAGAAAAUACAAGCUUCGAUUGAAUCCCAACAAAUGUACAUUCGGUGUCAGGUCCGGGAAGUUAUUAGGCUUCAUUGUCAGCCAAAAGGGCAUUGAAGUCGAUCCUGAUAAAGUCCGGGCCAUCCGAGAAAUGCCAGCUCCACAGACAGAGAAACAAGUCAGAGGUUUCCUCGGACGUUUGAAUUACAUCUCCCGAUUCAUAUCUCACAUGACCGCAACCUGCGGGCCGAUCUUCAAGCUACUCAGAAAGAACCAGCCUGUUGUAUGGAAUGAUGAAUGCCAAGAAGCUUUUGAUAGCAUCAAGAAUUACCUGCUAGAACCACCUAUCCUUGUCCCACCCGUGGAAGGAAGGCCUUUGAUUAUGUAUUUGGCAGUAUUUGAUGAAUCCAUGGGAUGCGUACUUGGUCAACAAGAUGAGACUGGAAAGAAAGAACAUGUUAUCUACUAUCUAAGCAAGAAGUUCACCGAUUGUGAAACUCGGUAUACAAUGCUUGAGAAGACUUGUUGUGCUUUGGCCUGGGCCGCUAAACGCCUGCGUCAUUAUUUGGUGAAUCAUACAACUUGGUUGAUAUCCAGAAUGGAUCCGAUAAAGUAUAUCUUUGAGAAAGCGGCUGUUACUGGGAAGAUUGCACGCUGGCAGAUGCUUUUGUCUGAAUAUGAUAUUGUGUUCAAAACUCAAAAGGCAAUCAAAGGUAGCAUUCUUGUCGAUCACCUUGCUUACCAACCUCUUAAUGAUUAUCAACCAAUUGAGUUCGAUUUCCCCGAUGAAGAGAUCAUGUAUUUGAAAUCAAAAGACUGCGAAGAACCGUUGAUGGAGGAAGGUCCAGAUCCCAAUAGCAAGUGGGGUUUAGUGUUUGAUGGUGCUGUCAAUGCUUAUGGUAAAGGAAUUGGGGCAGUCAUUGUAUCCCCGCAGGGGCAUCACAUUCCUUUUACCGCCCGGAUUCUGUUCGAAUGUACCAACAACAUGGCUGAGUAUGAAGCAUGUAUCUUCGGGAUCGAGGAAGCAAUUGACAUGAGAAUCAAGCACCUCGACAUCUAUGGAGAUUCUGCGCUCGUCAUCAAUCAGAUAAAGGGUGAAUGGGAGACCCACCAUGCUAAGUUGAUUCCUUAUCGUGAUUAUGCGAGACGUCUUCUGACAUAUUUUACAAAGGUUGAGCUGCACCAUAUUCCUCGUGAUGAGAACCAAAUGGCCGAUGCUCUUGCUACUCUAUCCUCCAUGUUUCGAGUAAACCAUUGGAAUGAUGUGCCAUUAAUCAAAGUGCAACGCCUUGAAAGACCUUCACAUGUGUUUGCUAUUGAGGAUGUGAUCGAUCAGGCUGGUGAAAAUGUGGUUGACUAUAGACCCUGGUACUACGACAUCAAACAGUUCUUGCUGAGCCGUGAGUAUCCGUCGGGUGCUUCCAAACAAGACAAGAAGACCUUGAGAAGAUUGGCCAGUAGAUUCCUGUUAGAUGGAGAUAUCCUGUACAAGAGGAACUAUGACAUGGUACUGUUAAGAUGUGUUGAUGAACAUGAAGCGGAGCAGUUAAUGCAUGAUGUACAUGAUGGUACCUUUGGGACCCAUGCUACAGGGCAUACUAUGUCAAGGAAGUUGUUACGAGCAGGUUACUACUGGAUGGCCAUGGAGCAUGAUUGCUACCAGUACGCCAGAAAAUGCCACAAAUGUCAAAUCUAUGCUGAUAAGAUUCAUGUGCCUCCGCACGCUCUCAAUGUUAUUUCAUCCCCCUGGCCGUUCUCAAUGUGGGGCAUCGACAUGAUUGGAAGAAUUGAACCGAAGGCUUCAAAUGGUCAUCGUUUCAUUUUAGUGGCAAUUGACUACUUCACCAAGUGGGUUGAAGCAGCAUUUUAUACCAAUGUGACCAAGCAAGUGGUAGCUAAGUUCAUCAAGAACAACAUCAUCUGUCGAUAUGGUGUUCCCAGCAAGAUUAUUACCGACAAUGGUACCAACCUGAACAACAAUGUGGUGCAAGCUCUUUGUGAAGAAUUCAAAAUUGAGCAUCAUAACUCUUCUCCCUAUAGACCUCAGAUGAAUGGUGCAGUUGAGGCCGCCAACAAGAAUAUCAAGAGAAUUGUCCAGAAAAUGGUAACUACUUACAAGGACUGGCACGAGAUGUUACCCUAUGCUCUGCAUGGCUACCGUACUACCGUGCGCAGUUCAACCGGGGCAACCCCUUUCUCUCUUGUAUAUGGUAUGGAAGCAGUUCUUCCUUUGGAAGUGGAGAUCCCAUCUCUCCGUGUGAUCAUGGAAGCAAAGUUAUCCGAGGCUGAAUGGUGCCAAAGCCGGUAUGAUCAGUUGAAUUUGAUUGAGGAAAAACGUAUGGAUGCCAUGGCUCGUGGACAGUCAUAUCAAGCAAGAAUGAAGACUGCUUUUGACAAGAAAGUCCAUCCUCGAGAAUUCAAGGUAGGGGAACUUGUAUUGAAAAGGAGGAUAAGCCAGCAACCCGACCCAAAGGGCAAGUGGACGCCUAACUAUGAAGGUCCUUAUGUUGUCAAGAAGGCCUUCUCCGGUGGUGCUUUAAUCCUUACACACAUGGAUGGUGUAGAACUUCCAAAUCCAGUGAAUGCCGAUAUAGUCAAGAAAUACUUUGCCUAGAAAUAUGAAAAGAACAGCGUGGUAGGUCGAAAACCCGAAAGGGCGGCCUAGGCAAAAAUGCGCUUCCCGGUGGAUCGAAAACCCGAAAGGGCGGUCCAGGCAAAAAUAAGGGACAAAAAAAAAAAAAAACAAAUAUGAAAAGCUCGCUGAGAUUGUACACAACUCAGGCAAGAAUGAGCGUCUCGAUGAGCCGAAAACCCGGAAGGGCGGUUCAUGCAAAAAUGAGAUUGAAACCAAAGGCAAGUAACUAUAUCUGGCCAACCACCGUCUCCCUUGGGGCAUCUGCUGCUGUUAAUGACUAUCUUCAUCAAAAGCUCCUAUGCUUGCGAAUUCAAAGUUUUCAGGAAAUGUAAUGAUUACUGUGUUCAAUGUACCACCAACCAAUAAAAUUACCAUUUUCCAAGCUUUGUAAAUCCGUGGAGUCACACCUUCGGCUGACCACCACUCUUAUACAUCAAUUUGAGCCUGUGCUUUUGAUUAAAAUUCUAUUUUUUUCUACUUUCAAAGCUAUAUACAAAACAUUUUCUUUCUAUUUUGAUAAUGACAAUGCUCGAAACAAACAUUUUUGAAAAUUGAAAACUUUUUGUCUAUUUUGAAAAGCAAACCUGAGCAACAGGGUACAUUCAAAUGAAACAUGCAUGAGCGAGAGUAUGUUGAUGUCUAUUUCAAUAUAUGUUACAAGCAGGUUCUCCUCCAGGAUAGUCUGUGGUCAAUGGCAAGAAUGAAAAAACAGAAUAAAAAUGCAUGAAAAUAAACGAGCUCGCUAAGUUGAAAACCCGAAAGGGCGGCUUAGGCAAAAAUGAGCACCCCGCUGGAUUGACAACCCGAAAGGGCAAUUCAGGCAAAAAUGGGGCAUUGAAAAGAAUUUAUUGCCCCGGUGGAUCGAAAACCCGAAAGGGCGAUCCAGGCAAAAAUGGGAUGCAAUGAAAAAUGAAAAAAUGAAAAAAAGAAUAUAACAUGCAAAAAGCAUUGACCACAGAUGCAAUGUCUACAACAUACCCAGCACUGAAAUGCCCAGCACAACGGCGUUUUCCCCGGUGGGGUCUCUCAAGACUCUAUCCCCAGCAAGUUACAUACCUACCGGCCCCCGGCCAUGGUUCCGAUACGUCUCCCAACGACGUCAUCUCCAUAGAGGAUCUCCGAGAAUGUGUAACAUAGCACGAGCCACUACGUGCCCAAUACUCUAAUGUCUUGUCUUCCCCGUGAAGUCGUGCCUACAAACUGCCAACAGUCAUGCAUUACAAGCAUUCAUACAUGCAUAAUCAUGCAUAUUACGUGCCCAUGCAUUUAAUGAAACUGUUAUAUCAUCCAUGCAUAUCGCAUUUCCAAUGUCAACAUCAGUCUCAAUUCAAUACUCAUGUCAGGUUCUCUGUCAAAACCUUGUGAGCCAAUAAUAUCUGUCAAACCAAUCCCCAGUGAAUAUGUUUCUGUUUGGUCAAGUGGCUAGUUCAAGUCCAAGAACAGCUUGUACCUAUCAAUUUGCUUUUGUUAUCGGUCGAGUGCCCAGCUCAAUCCAAGAGCAGCUUGUACCUGUCAAUAUGUUUCCGUUUGGUCAAGUGGCUAGCUCAAUCCAAGAGCAGCUUGUACCUGUCUAUCUGUUUCUGUCCGGUGGAGUAACCAGUUCGCAUCCAAGAACAAGCUCGCACCUGUCUAUUUGCCUUGCUUUCAGUCGAGUCACUAGUUCGAAUCCAUAAGAACAACUCGUACCUGCCAAUUUUACAUGUUUUCAGUCGAGUCACCAGUUCGAAUCCAUAAGAACAACUCGUACUUGUCAAUUUUCUCUUUUUCCAGUCGAGUCACCAGUUCGAAUCCAUAAGAACAACUCGUACUUGCCAAUUUUCUCUUUAUACCCAAGUGAGUUACCAGUUCGAAUCCAUAAGAACAACUCAUGUUUGUCCAGUAACCUCUAUCCCCUGUGAAGUUACCAGUUCGAAUCCAUAAGAACAACUCGCAGUUGUCUGUUUGUUUCAUUCCCGGUCAAGUGGCUAGUUUGAAUCCAAGAACAGCUUGUACCUGUCCAACUUGUUUCUAACUUCCCGUUACUCUGCUAUUCACUAUCUUUGUCAGUGUCUACCAAUCCCGCAAUGGAUACGACAUAUUUUGUUAAUUCCAAUCCCCAUGGGGUCUUGCAUUCAUAAUCCAAAUGAUGCAUGGCAUGCAUAUUAUUUGAAAAUGGGUAGGCGUAUUUUUACGUCCAAACACAGUGCAAAUGCUAAUAUUUAAGUAUCUUCGUCCUGUCAAGCCAAAGACUCCGUCUCUUGACUCUCCAGACAAAGAAACUUAAAUAGGGGCAGCUGUUAUACCCUGUUUUUGGACCUAAAAAUACUGGGCCCAAUUUCGUUUCAAACUUUGUCAAUUAUUAAAUUUCAACUGCACAGUUCAAAUUGUCUCUGCCUCGCAGUAUUUUCAAUCACAAUUUCAUCUAUGUUUUUCUUGCAUAAAACCUUUUGAAAUGUCUUUACUUGUCUUAUAAGUCAUUCAAAAGUGUCUCUGAAUCAUUACAUUGCUUUUUUCUACAGUUUAUUUCAAAAUUUGCAAAAAAGUCAUACAGAAGGGUAUUUUGGUCAUUUCCUGCAGUGGGACCCAUUUUCAUCCUUGUGACUGUCUCCGAGUCUUUUCAAAUUGUUUUUAAACAUUUCAUCAGUAAGCCUUAUCAAAUUCAUUUCAAACUUGCAUCCGAGUCAGUGUCAAGUCGAUUUGAUUCUGUUUAGGUCAUUUUUAGCCCUAGGGGCAUUUUGGUCAUUUCACACAAAAUUUUCGCAUAGAGAGGUUACUUUGAAGUACCUCAUUUAGGUCAUUGGUUCGUUUUAGUCCGUUUUGUCAAUUUUAUUUUAGUUUCACUUUACGUUUUGUCAGGUUACCAAUUUUAUUCCAAUUUUAUUUUUUAUUUUAUUUUACAUUUUAGUCCCCAAAGAGGUCCAAAAUUGCAUUCCAGUCCAAUUUUCUUUCCAAUUUACAUUUCAGUCCUUUUUGGUUAAUUGCAGUUUAGUCCUCAAUUUCUUUGUUUUUGCAGAAAGGUCCAAAUUUCUUUUUUGUCCAAGGCCGUGCCACUCUUAUACAAUUCCAGGUGUCACCUUUUUAUUGGAUCUCAAGUACACAUGUCAACUAUAAAUACAGUGAGUCAGAUUCAGAGCCAUUAAUUACACGCCAACUCAUAAACACAAACUCAAUUUUCUCUUUCUCAGCAAUUGGAUCAAGCCAGAAAAGUUUCUCAGAAUCUCUCAAGAACACCAAGAACACAAAACCCUAACCGUUUUCCAGAAAUCAAAAUUCAUCAGAAUCAACAGUUUUUUGGAUCAAUUCUCAGAGAUUCUGUGGAAUCUUCAUCAUUGGAUUGAUCGUUCUCUGCAAUUCCAAACGCGAGCUCGCAUUGAAGCAAGCUCAAGCGUUGAUCACAGAGCGUGAAAAGAAGAAGGAAAGAAGCAGAAUCUGCAGAAUCUGGACCGGUGAAGCAAGCAGAAGAAUCAAGAAUCAUCAGAAAACACAGAAUCAAGUUUUUCCAAAGAUUUCCUCCAUUAAAGGUUUCAACCAAAACCUUAGGUAAAACUCAGAAUCUCUUCUCAGAAAAUAAUAUCAUAGUUUAACCUGUAAAAAAUCACGCAAGCAAGCAUAUCAAAAAAAUUUCCAGAAUUCAAAGAAAACCGUAACCGUAAGCACGAAACCUAGAUCCAUAAGGAUCUAAGUUUUGAAAACAAGAACGAAUACCAGAAGAGUAAUCAAACGACGAAACGAUGUAGAUCUUUAAAGAUCUAAACGUUUUUGUUCAAAAAUCAAAAAUCAUUUCAAAACCGUAUAAAGUUUUUCCAAGAUCUACGUCGUUUCAAGCUGUGUUUGGAAAAAUAAUUGCUGGAUUCGUGUUUAGGGUUAAAGGACGAAUCAAAAGAUGCAAGAAUCUUUGAAAUCUGGAAAAUUAGGUCACCGGAAACUGCAUGAACUCGCCGGAGAAGAUGAAGUUUCCGGCGGACCUUCAAGGUCUCCGCCGUAGCUUCAUCCUCGCCGGCGGCAAGGUUAGAGAGAGGUGAGAGACGAGAGAAGAGAGAAGAGCUAGAGAGAGAAUGAGAGCAGCAAAAUGAAAUAAACCGGAGCUCCUUCCUUUUUAUAAGCCAGCGAACCAGACCGGUCCAGUCCGGUCCAUUCUCCUUUGAUUCCUGGCCGUUUGAUCUAGGGUUUCAGGAUCCUGGAUCAAUCGUAUGGUUCCUGUGCAACCGGAUCUUUUAGGUUUGGGCUUUGGGUUUGGGCUCAAGUUUCUUUUACGUUUUUUUGCUUUUUUGCUACCUGCACCCUGUUUCUUUGCUAUUUGAACCUUUGCAUACUUAAUUUUUCUUAAUAAAAUUUCUAAAAAAAUUAUCACAUGUUUCUUGAUGUAUUUUCAUGCUUUUGUGAUACUUUUCAAUAGUUUUAAAAAUGGUAAAAAUACAUGUGAUAUUUUCUCGUUUAAUUAGGUAUUUUGAUACAAAUUUGUGCAUUUUUUAGUAGUGCAUUCUCUCAAAAGAUGAUGGCAUAUGUUGUGAAUGAUUAAUAGGCAAUUUUAUGAUAAAUUUGUUGCUGAUCCUAUGUGUGGCUUGCUGCUUGUGAAUAUGAAUCUUAUUUUUCUUCUUGCCUUGCAAUUAGUAUGUGUUUUAAUAAUAAAUAAGGUGCAAAAUGUCUUGAAAAUGUGUCAUGAGUUUUAGCUUGAAUAUGUCCUAUUAAUUCUCACCUUAUGGCACAAAGCAAGACUUCUAAAAAUUUGCCAUAAUGAAGGGAUCAUAGGUCAUGCACAUGCUAGAGUUUUAGGGCCACUUUCAUGCACAUUUUGUCACUUUAUUAGUCUCUUUUAUGUCUUUCCUCUUAAUAUUUUUGUGCACUUCUUUUAUUCUAGGCUUCAUUUUACUAACUAUUUCAUCUCAUGUGUCAUACAUUUCAUAGCAUUCCACUACCUCCUCCACUUUCUUUAGCUUAGCAUUUAUUUUUGCAAAUUUUAAUUCAUUUGGUGAUGUAAUUUGUUAUCAUUGGUUUGUAGCUUGGCAAAGGGGCCAUAGAAUGUAUUUAGGCAAUUUUUGUAAUAUGGACUAUGGACACUAUGACGCACCGACACGCACACACUCACCCUAGAUGUAUGUUUAGGAUUGUAUGCAUAGAUGUAUGGCUAGGAUUGCAUGAUUAGGUGAACGUUUAGUUUCGAACACUUAGAGAAAAUCCAACUUUUUUCCAAAAAUACGCAAAUAAAUUCACUUCAAAUAUUUUUAUAAAAAAUGGAGUCAAAACUCCAAUAACUUUUCCCUUUUAUUUUCUUAAGUAAAAUUUCUAACAAAUCUUAACUAUACUUGGACUUUAUUUUGAAAAAGACUAAUUCCACCUCACCUUUUCCAAAAUCUCAUGCCCUUGAGGCCUCUCAUCUCUAUUCUUCAAAAUCUCUUUUCAAACUUAAAAUCAACCAACAAAAACAAAAACUAUUUUUUGAGAAUGAACUACGCCGGUUUUGAUCCCGUAAAACGGUACGUAGGCAAGGGACUUUAACCCCUCCAAGCCGAAAUAAAAUCAAAUUCUACUUCUUCUCACCCCCAUUCUUCACUAAUCAUACCUUUGUUUUUUACAAAUAGGCAAUAAAACUAAAGCGUAGAAAUAAACUUAGGAGAGCGGUUCUUAUGGAAUACCAUAAUCGCUCCGGGUGCCUAACACCUUCCCGUAGCGAAAACGACCCCCGAAUUCGGAAACUCAAGGGUUUUUCUCCUUUUACCCUUCCCAAGAAAAAAGAGAGAUAUCAACGGUCAAAAGGUUCAAGUCCAACUAAUGGCUUGGCACCCAAAAACCAUGAUAACAGGUAGAAUCAGGCAUGUAAAGCAUAAAUGGUAAAAUUACACUCAAAUGGUAGCUUUUCCUUAGAUAACUUGCAAAACAAGUCACUAAUUUGCCUAAGUUAACACAUGAAAUAUGUUACUUUUGAGCACUUAUCAUGUACUCCAUAAAAACACCAGGCGCAUUAGUAACACAGAAAGGCAUUACUUUGUACUCGUAAUGACCAUAACGUGUCCUAAAGGCCGUCUUCUGCAUAUCCUCAUCCUUCACCUUUAUCUGAUGAUAACCAGACCUCAAAUCAAUCUUACUGAAAAUCUUAGCACCAACCAACUGAUCCAUCAAGUCGUCAAUUCUAGGAAGCGGAUACCUGUUCUUGAUCGUAACUUUGUUCAACUGACGGUAAUCUAUACACAGUCUCAUACUACCAUCCUUCUUCUUGACCAACAACACCGGUGCUCCCCAAGGUGAAACACUGGGUCUUACAAACUUCUUAUCUAACAGGUCCUCCAACUGUUUCUUCAACUCAGCUAAUUCAGAAGCUGACAUACGGUACGGUGCCAUCGACACCGGCUUAGUUCCUGGAACAAGGUCUAUUGAAAACUCAACUUCCCUCUCUGGUGGCACAUCAGGAAUCUCAUCAGGGAAUACUUCUGGAAAUUCAUUCACUACAGGUAAACCAUCAAUCACAGCUUGAUUUUCUAACGACAAUUGUGCCAUUAGAGAAUACAUCAGGAUACCAUCACGUUCAAACUGUUUCAUCUGUUUUGUAGACAGAAGCUCAACCUCACCUUCUUCUUCAGCAGAAGAGAAAUGUACCGUCUUACUAAAGCAGUUGAUAUGAACCCGAUUAUACUCUAACCAAUUCAUACCAAAAAUCACAUCCAUACCCGUCAACGGCAGACAAACUAAAUCAAUCACAAAAUCUCUACCAAACAUAGAUAUAGGACACCGCACACAAACAAGAGAAGUGGUUACUGAACCCUUAGCUGGAGUUUCAACAACCAUUUCCCCUUUCAUAUCAGAUACAUCCAAACCCAACUUAUAUGCACAUUCAAUAGCAAUAAAACAAUGAGUAGCACCAGUAUCAAUAAUAGCAAUUAAAGGAGUACUAUUAAAGAAACAAGUACCUCUGAUAAGUUGGUCCUCAUUAGGAGUCUGCGUACCAGUCAAAGCAAACACCUUUCCACCAAUUCUAGUCUUCUUCGGCUCAGGACACUGUGAACUGAUAUGACCUUCCCCAUUGCAGUUGUAACAGACAAUGUCCCCACGCUUGCAUUCAGCUAAACUGUGACCCUUCUGACCACACCUGAAGCACUUCCUAUCAUCUCUUCCACAAACAUUACUCUUGUGGCCUUUCUCACCACAUUUGUAACAAACAAUCUCAGCUGGAGCAUCUCUCCUCUUGGGCCUCCUAUCAUCACCCAUCUUCUGUUUACCCUUGUCAGCAGGAGCACUGUAAGGCUUAGGACGACUCUGGUGUCCCUUACCCCUCCUCUCACUCAUUAUCUUGUAAUGAGCUUUGGUGUCUUCUUCAUAGAUUCUGCACCUAUUAACCAACUCAGAAAAAACUCUGAUCUGCUGAUAUCCAAUAGCUCUUUUGAUGUCAGCCCUCAACCCAUUCUCAAACUUGAUACACUUGGAGAACUCAGCUGUCUCCGCACUGUAAUGAGGAUAGAAUGUGGCAAGCUCCACAAACUUUGCAGCAUACUCUGUGACAGACAUGUCACCCUGCUUCAACUCCAGAAAUUCAAUCUCUUUCUUACCUCUGACAUCCUCUGGAAAAUACUUGCCCAGAAACUCCUUCUUGAACAUGGCCCAGGUUACCACAGCAUCAUCCUGUUCCAACACAGGCAACAGACUAAUCCACCAAUCAUCGGCCUCUUCAGCUAGCAUGUGCGUCCCAAACCGCACCUUUUGAACCUCAAAACACUGCAUGACCCUGAAUAUUCUUUCAAUCUCCUUUAGCCAUUUCUGAGCACCAUCAGGAUCAUACCUACCCUUGAAAGUUGGUGGAUGAUUCCUCAGGAAAGUCUCUAGCAUCCUGGUGCCAUCACCACCAGUCUCAACCUUAGGUUGCUGUUGAACAGCUUGAGCUACAGCCUCAAGCGCAGCAACAAGGGCAGCAUCACUACUUCCAGUCAUCUCGAGAUUCUACACGACAAACAACAACUCAGAACAACAACAAAAAGCAACAUUCAAGUUGACACUCUAACCUAGGUGGCUCAACACGACUCUACUACUUGGCCGGACGGACCAACCUGCUCUGAUACCAAAUUGUAACACCCCGUUACCCAAAUGUAAAUAAAUAACAAAUAAUCAUCAGAGUAAUUCACCAAAAACGGGUAUGCCACAUUUCAAAAAUCAAAAUUCUUAAAUAGCAUAUGAAACUAUUUAAUUAAACCACUUGAUAAAAAUGAAAACAUAGCAGCGGAAUGGUUUUCAAAUCCAACAACAGCCUACGACAUUAAAGGCCUUAGCAUAAUUCAACAACAUUGUUCAAAAGAUAAUAAAGGCUCCACAUCACAAAUCCAAAAUUCGAUACAUGGAAAAGAAACAACAAUAAUAUAAAUAACAGUUCCCAUCCCACGUAUCAGAGCCCUAGACACGACUCUUGAGCCACCACCGACUACUCAGGAUCACCUGCAAGUUACCCAUAGGAAGGGCAACAUUUUCAAGCAGAAGGGGUGAGAUUCACAACAAUAAACAUAGAUAAUAAAUCUUCAAUUGAAUCUAACACCCUAAAACUUCAGUAUAUCAUCUUGCAAAUAUUAAUAAUUUAUUCACAAGUCACAACAACAUUAUCAUAAUAAUCCACUUAAUAAGUAUGUAUACAAUGUACAUAUUACCACAACAUUAACAAUACAACAUGAUCACAAUGAAUAUAUAUAAAUAAAUGUAUAUUCAACAUCAACAUCAUCCAUCAGAUAAAACUGAAACAACAACCAAGACUCAUGCAAAUGACAUGACCACUGCUAAGACACCAUCUUAGACUUCUUAAUGAAAUGCAUUAUGCAUGUGAUACCAAUCAGGACCGAAGCCCUCACCGCUUUUGAAUGGUUAAAGCAUUCAUCAGGACCGAAGCCCUCACCGCUGUUGAGCAACUAGUACUCCAGGACCGAAGCCCUCACCGCUGUUUUUAUGCAUAUGCAAUGGACCUACUUGUGUAUAUCUACAUACAACUGACCAUGCAAUGCAACUCCAUGUGACUCCACUUAAACGACAUGUAUGAUUAAUAAUUAAAACAUACAAUGCAUUCCUCAUCAUCAAUCAACAACCAACAGAGAUUCAACCAUUCAGAAUGAUGCACAAUUAAAUAUAAUUAUGCUUAAACAACAACACUCAAACCUUAUCAUCCAAGCAAGCAAAACUGCACUCAAAACUGCACAGCUCGCCUCGCGAGCACAUCUGCUCGCCACGGCGAGUUCACAGAAACACUAGCUCGCCAUGGCGAGUUCAAGGCGAACUCGAGGCGAGUGGAAAUCAGGUACUCUCGGGAAAAAGUGACAUUUUCUCACUCAAACUCCAAUUCUAAGCUCCCUAUUCAUCUUUUUAACCCAAAACUUCCACCAUUCAUCAUUAAUAUCAUCUAGAUACCUUAAUCCAUUCCCAAAACAUCUUAUAACAACUUUUCAAAAAUCACAUUUUUCUGGGCUUGCUCGCCAUGGCGAGUUGGACUGCUCACGAGGCGAGUGAUGAAGUUGCUCACUCGCGAGGCGAAGCACGAAUGCUCGCGAGGCGAGCGAUGAACUUCUGUACGGGCAGAAAACUGGUUUUUCCCCAAAAUCCCAUUUUUCUUCCAAUCACUCCCCAAAUCAGUUUACAGAUACAAAAUUAAGCGUUCUAUGCAACCAUAAACCAAUUUUUAACAUCAAAUUCAGGCUUACAACUUCAAAAAUCCCAUUUUCAACAUAACACCCAAAAUCCCCAAAUUUCACUAAAACCUGUUAAACUCAAAAUCAGAAUCUAAAAUCUACACUGUUGUACCCUGAUUUUGGACCUAAAAAUACUCAUUCAAAUUUCUUUUUCAACACUGAUAAUUGUCAAAUUACUGUUAUGUUUCCCUGAGUCUUUACUUUGUUUCAUCUGCAUCUUUUGCUGUCUCUGUCUCAAAGUAUUUUCAAUCAUGACUUUCUUGCAUAAAACCAUCCAAAAUAUCUUUCUUGCAUUACAAGUCAUUUGAAAACUCUCUGAAUCAUUGCAUUACUUUUCUUGCAUUUUAUUUCAAAUAUUUUCAAAAAAUCAUACAAAAGGGUAUUUUGGUCAUUUCCUGCAGUGGAACCCAUUUUAGUCCUUGUGAUUGUCUCUGAGUCUUUUCAACUUGCUUUACAAAUCAUUGUGGAGUCUUUGUUAAAAAGUCAUUUCAAAAUUACAUCUGAGUCAGUUUGAGUCAGUUUAGUCCCUAGGGGCAUUUUUGUCUUUUCCUGUCAUUUUUGUCCAAUUUACCAAUUUUAAUCCAAUUUUAUUUUAAUGGCAUUUUUAGUACUCAAACAGAUCCCAAAAUUGCAUUUUGGUCCAAUACUCUUUUUUUUUAAUUGCAUUUUUUUUAGUCUUUUUUAAUUGCAGAUUAGUCCUCAUAUUAACUUUUUUGCAGAUUAGUCCUUAAGUCCAAAACAGUCUUCCAUUGGGUCUCCAAUACACAUGGCAGGCUAUAAAUAGUAAAUGUGUCAGAUCCAUCACAAUCACAAUCAAACAGAAUCUUUUUCUCUCUCUCAUCCAUAACAGAAUCAAAACAGAAAAAACUCAGAAAAAAGAGGAAGAACACCAAGAACACCUCAUCACCAAAAUCAACAGAUCUAAACCGGAUCUGCUCAGAAUCAGCUCCAACCACCACAAAAUCAACAAAUUCGAACCGGAUUCACUCAAAACCACCGCGAAUCAUCACAUCAACACCAAAACGUACCGGAUUUUCGAGCAAAAACAACACCAACGGAGGAUAUAGCGCGCGCGCGAAAGAGAAGAGGAGAGAUUCGAAGUUUUCUGAAUAUCUUUUUUCUCCGUUCUACGACAGAGGUAACGCGUUUCUCCUUUCUUUCUAAGCCAUUUCCGCGCAUUUCUUGCUUGAAAAAGUGUGAAAAAGUUUGUUACGGAUAAAGAUUUGUAGAUCUAGGCUUUUGUGUUCGGAUUUUGAGAAUUUUGAAGCCGGAUUCGGACUCUAUAGAGAAAAGGAUAUCUAGAUCCGUAGUUUUUUUUGCGAAAAGUGUGAAAAAGAUUUUCAAAGUAAAAACGUAGAUCUAGUCCGAAUCGCUCCGUUCUCGCUAAAACUAACGCCGGAUUUGUGUAGAGGAGGUGGUGACGGAACUUUUGAUGUAAAAACUUUGAAAAAAAAGUAGUUUGAAUUUUCCGGCGCGGUGGCGCCGCCGCCGGAAACCGGCCGGCCGCCGCGCCGGAACCACUACCUCCUCCACCUUCGCCGGCGAGUUUUUUUUAGAGAGAAGGGAGAGCUUCUCUCUCUAAGUGUGACUUAGAGAGAGAAGGAGAAGAAGUUUAUGUGUUUUUUUGUGUGAAAAUUCCUUUUUAUACUCCCUCCGUUCCCACGCGCGCGCGUGCGUGCUCUUGUUGUGUUCCCUCGCUCUGUGAACCAUCAGAUCCGGAUUGUUCCAAGAUCUGAUGGCUGCUGUGUGUUUGAUUUUGAAUUCUGUGUGUGAUCUUCUGUGUGAAAUAUGGUAUAUCUUCUGUUUGAACCGUUAGAUCUUUGAUCUAACGGUCACUGUGCUUCCUGCAUUUUACACUAUCUUUUGUGCUUUUUUUGGACCCUUGGAUCUUUGAUCCAGUGGCUGUGAUGUGAUCUUGGGAGUUAGAUCUGAACCUCUGGAUUCAUCCAGCGGUCCAGAUUAAAUCCUGCUGAGCCUCUUUUAAUUGCUUUUUUAAUUGUGUUUUAAAUACUUUUUUUACACUUUCUUGGUGUUUUAUGCUUCUAAAAAAUUUCUAAAAAUAUUUCCCUAUCAUUUUAAUUUUUCCUCUAAGUGUUAGAAUUUAUUUGCUUAUUUUUGCAUUCAUUUUCUUUACUUUGUUCUUUUAAUUCUCGCUCAUUAAAUUCCAUAUAUGUUCUUGAUGCAUUUUUACAUAUUGUGAUAUUUUUGCAUGUGAAAUAAUGUGUGGAAAUAUCUCUAGGAAUAUGAUAUAAUGCUUGGCUUGUGUGUACUCUUAUGAUCCUCACAUUGUAGCUUAAAUUCAAACCUUUCAAAAAUGGCUAUAAUGAGGGAAUUAUAGGUCAUGUGCAUGUAUGAGUGUUAUACCUAAAUUCUAGGUGAAUUUUUACUACUUUGUUUCAUUGCAUUAUUUUCUUUCUCUUGUGCUAUUCAAUUCUAUAUUGCUUUCAUUUUUUUUAUUAUCAUUUUGUACUUGUGUUACUAACUCUUAUGCUUCAUAUCUCACUCAUUCCAUAAGCACCUAAUCUUUGUACCCUCAUUGCUCCUAGUUUAGGUUUUCUUUUUGUAUUCAUUUCUAUGCCAAUUGGUUUGUAAUAAAUUUAGUUAGUUUAGUUUAGUUUACAUUCUUGCAAGACCAUAGCAUGUAUUUAGGACUCGAUGUAAAGGACUAUGGACACUAUAAGUGAUGUACACCGACAAAAGCACCGACACAUGCACACACCCCACAUGGAUAUUGUAACGCCCUAGUCAUUAUUUUAUUAUUUUUGGAAUUAUUUAGAGUCUUUUAUGCAUUUUAUAAAAUAUGUGUGCUUUGUUUGGUGUAUAAUAUUUAUUUAUAUAAUUUAUUUAAUAUAAAUAGAAUAAUAGAGAUAAUAGAAUUAUUUAGGAGGUUAGGGAUUAAUUAGAAAUUAAUAGUAAUAAGGGAGGGUUUAAUGAAAAAAAAGGAGGUUAUGGUUUUGGAAAGUCAAGGAAAGAAAAAGGAGUGAAAACUGUUUUAACGUAAAAACAAGUGGGGAAGAGAAAAGCUAAGGCAAGGGAGAAGACCAAGAGAGAAGAACUAGAAAAUCGAUUGUUGAGCUUUCUUUGUCUUUGCAAUUCUAAGGUAAGGGUGGGAUUAUCUUUCAAUGAUUAUAAUGUAUAAUUUCUGAAAAGUAAUCUAAUUGAAUAGUUUUUAAGAAUAAUAUGAAAAUUAGGGUUUGAUGAUGAUUCUGAUGGAAUGGGUAAAGAUGAUGUUAGUUUUUCUCGGAAUUUAACGUUAAGAAUGAAAGCUUAACCCAUGUUGUUGCUGCAAUCCAUUAAUUGAUUGAAUUUUGGAUGAAUUGUAUGAAUUGAUGAAUAUUUGUAUGUUGGUAGAAUGUUUCUGUAAUCGUUGCUGCUGAUGGUUGAAUUGUGUAUUCUUUAUUAGGCCUAGUUGUAUAUAGGACCUGUAAACAUCUAUUGGAAAACAUUUUGGGUGAUCAGGGGAUUAAAAUGGGGUUUUUGGAGUGAGAAGGAGUCUGAAACCGUAGGUUUUGCACUGCCCAGAUGAAUGGUCGCUUAAGCGAAGCACCCGUCGCUUAAGCGAGCAUUCAAGCAAGCUGCCCAGAAUGCGAUUUUACCCGUUCGCUUAAGCGAACUGUGAGCGAACUAGUAAGCGAAAAUUAAGUUUGAUUCUGCCAAGAAUUCGCUUAAGCGAAUGGUAAGCGACUCUGUGAGCGAAAAACCAUUUUGAUUCUGUCCAAAUUUCGCUCAAGCGAACUUGUGAGCGAACCGUGAGCGAACCUGAACCUAGAUUUUCCUGUAGCUGGUCGCUUAAGCGAGCUGCCCUUCGCUUAAGCGAACUGGGUCUUAGUUAACCUUUUCUGAAUUUUGCUUCGUGCACUAGGGGUUCCUUUUUUAGUACUUCUAAGUGUUUUCUUUAGCUUGUAUAACCCUUGUAUAGGUAUUAAAUCUUGAUUAUACUGCAACGUUAAAUUGAUUGAUUAAUCUUGUGAAUUUUGGAGAGUUUGUAAUUGCAUUAAAGGGUGGUGAGUCAUAUAAGUACAUAUGCAUUUGUUGUCGAGUUGUAUGCAGAUAUACACAAGUGGAGUCAGUUGCAUAAGCAUAAAAACGAUGAGAACUUCGGUUCUGGAACGCUUUGUCGUUCAAAACGAUGGAACACGAUGUUGUUCAAAACGAUGUUAACGAUGAGGACUCAUGUCCUGAUAAAAGAAUGCUUUAACCAUUCUAUAACGAUGAGAGCUUCGGCUCUGAAAUGGUACCACAUGCAUAAUUGCAUUAGUUGAGGAGUCUUAGUAGAGUUGUCGUGUCUUGCAUGAGUCGUAGAAGUGAAGUCGAGCAGUUGCAUGAGUCAAAGUUACUGUUGACAUUAUUGAUGAAUGAAUGAAGUUGUUAAUGAAUGUUAUAUUAUGAUUGUUGAAUGAUUAUGAUGAUAGGGUGUUAGAUUCAUUUAUGUUAUUAUAUAUUAUUAUUAUUAUUGUUUGAGAAUCUCACCCCUUCUGUUUGAAUGUUGCCUCGACCGUGGGUAACGUGCAGGUGAUUCCGAGUAGUAGGUGUGGUGGCUCACAAAGUUUAGGGCUCUGAUACGUGGGAUGGGGUUUUAUUAUUUGAAUUCUUUCCUAUGUAUCAACUUUGAAUUAUAACUGAUGUAGUUAUUUGGUGAUCGACUGUUAUGUUGAAAUGGCCUUUAUGCCAAGAAUAAUUAUUGUAGAAUGAAUGAUGAUGAAAAUAAUCCGCUGCGAGUUAAUGACAAUUUUAUGAACGACGUUUGAUUAAAUAGAUUUUUAUAUAUCCUCUAUUUAACCAUUUUUAAAUGAAGAAAUGUAGCAUGCUCGUUAUGAUUACUCUGAUUAUUUUGUAUUAUUACUAUUUAAGUAAUUUUGGGAAACGGGGUGUUACAAUUGGUAUCAGAGCAGGUUGGUCCGUCCGACCGUAUAGAAGAGUCUUGUUGAGCCACCUAGGAUAGAGUGUUAACUCUAAUGUGGUUUUUGCUGUUUUCUGAUUUCUAUUUCUUAUGUAGAAUCUCGAAAUGGCUGGUCGUAACGAUGCUGCAAUUGCUGCUGCACUUGAGGCUGUUGCUCAAGCUGUAGGACAGCAACCAGCUGCUGCUAAUGGAGAAGUGAGGAUGCUGGAGACUUUUCUAUGAAACCAUCCACCAGCAUUCAAGGGAAGGUAUGACCCUGAUGGAGCUCAGACCUGGUUGAAGGAGGUAGAGAGGAUCUUCAGAGUCAUGCAAUGUUCUGAGGUGCAAAAGGUGCGGUUCGGGACGCACAUGCUGGCUGAAGAAGCAGAUGAUUGGUGGGUAGGUCUUUUACCUGUGUUGGAACAAGACGGCGCGGUGGUGACAUGGGCUGUGUUCAGGAGAGAAUUCCUGAAUAGAUACUUUCCAGAAGAUGUCCGAGGGAAGAAAGAAAUAGAAUUUCUGGAGUUGAAACAGGGUGACAUGUCAGUCACGGAGUAUGCAGCUAAGUUCACGGAACUUGCAAAGUUUUACCCUCACUACACUGCGGAGACAGCUGAGUUCUCCAAAUGCAUCAAGUUUGAGAAUGGUUUGAGGGCUGAUAUUAAGAGAGCCAUAGGAUAUCAGAAGAUCAGAAUUUUCUCAGAACUGGUGAGUAGCUGCAGAAUUUAUGAGGAGGAUACGAAGGCUCAUUACAAGGUGAUGAGCGAGAAGAGGAAUAAGGGUCAGAGUAGCCGCCCGAAGCCCUACAGUGCUCCUGCUAACAGAGGCAAACAGAGAUUGAAUGAUGAGAGACCACAAAAAGGGAAAAAUGCUCAAGUUGAUGUUGUUUGUUACAAAUGUGGUGUGAAGGGCCACAAGAGUAAUGCUUGCACUCAAGAUGAGAAGAAAUGUUUCAGAUGCGGUCAGAAAGGUCAUGUGUUGGCGGAUUGCAAGCGUGGAGAUAUUGUUUGUUUUAACUGUGGUGAUGAGGGUCACAUUAGUUCGCAGUGCCCGCAACCUAAGAAGGUCAGAACUGGAGGAAAAGUAUUUGCUUUGACUGGUACGCAGACUACCAAUGAGGAUCGACUUAUCAGAGGUACUUGUUUCUUUAAUAGUACUCCUUUAAUUGCUAUUAUAGACACCGGUGCUACACAUUGUUUCAUUGCUUUAGAGUGUGCAUAUAAGUUGGGUCUGAUUGUAUCUGAUAUGAAAGGAGAAAUGGUUGUUGAAACUCCAGCCAAGGGUUCAGUGACUACUUCUCUGGUGUGUCUAAGGUGUCCGUUGUCUAUGUUUGGUAGAGAUUUCGAGGUCGACUUAGUGUGUCUACCGUUGUUGGGGAUGGAUGUUAUUUUCGGGAUGAAUUGGUUAGAGUAUAACUGAGUUUGUAUUAAUUGUUUUAACAAGACGGUGCACUUUUCUUCUGUGGAAGAAGAGAGUGGAGCAGAGUUUCUAACUACUAAACAGUUGAAGCAGUUGGAACGAGAUGGAAUUCUUAUGUUUUCUUUGAUGGCAUCAUUGUCGUUAGAGAAUCAAGCUGUGAUCGACAGACUACCAGUGGUGAAUGAAUUUCCCGAAGUUUUUCCAGACGAGAUUCCUGAUGUGCCACCAGAAAGAGAAGUUGAGUUCUCGAUUGAUCUUGUUCCGGGAACGAAACCAGUGUCGAUGGCGCCGUAUCGCAUGUCAGCUUCUGAAUUGGCUGAGUUAAAGAAACAGUUGGAGGACUUGCUUGAUAAGAAGUUUGUGAGACCUAGUGUUUCGCCGUGGGGAGCACCCGUGUUAUUGGUGAAAAAGAAAGAUGGAAGUAUGAGGUUGUGCAUUGACUAUCGUCAGUUGAACAAAGUUACAAUAAAGAAUAGAUAUCCACUUCCGCGGAUUGAUGAUUUGAUGGACCAGUUGGUAGGUGCUAAAGUUUUUAGUAAGAUUGACUUGAGGUCGGGUUACCAUCAAAUUAAAGUGAAGGACGAAGAUAUGCAGAAGACGGCCUUUAGGACACGAUACGGUCAUUACGAGUACAAAGUGAUGCCUUUCGGUGUUACUAACGCGCCUGGUGUGUUCAUGGAGUAUAUGAACCGAAUUUUCCAUGCUUUUCUGGAUAAAUUUGUGGUGGUAUUUAUAGAUGAUAUCUUGAUCUAUUCAAAAACUGAAGAGGAACACGCCGAACACCUGAAGAUUGUGUUGCAAAUAUUGAAAGAGAGGAAGUUGUAUGCCAAGCUGUCGAAGUGCGAGUUCUGGUUAAAUGAAGUGAGUUUUCUAGGCCACGUUAUUUCUGGUAACGGUAUCGCGGUUGAUCCUUCGAAAGUUGAUGCAGUAUCUCAGUGGGAAACUCCGAAGUCGGUAACUGAAAUUAGAAGUUUCUUGGGUUUGGCUGGUUAUUACCGUAGAUUCAUAGAAGGAUUUUCAAAGUUGGCACUUCCAUUGACGCAGUUGACUUGUAAAGGGAAAUCUUUCGUAUGGGAUGCUCAGUGUGAGAGUAGUUUCAAUGAGUUGAAGCAAAGAUUGACAACUGCUCCUAUUCUAAUUUUGCCGAAGCCGGAAGAACCUUUUGUAGUUUAUUGUGAUGCUUCCAAGUUUGGUUUGGGAGGUGUGUUGAUGCAAGAUGGUAAGGUGGUAGCUUAUGCUUCUAGACAACUAAGGGUUCAUGAAAAGAAUUAUCCUACUCAUGACCUGGAGUUGGCUGCAGUGGUAUUUGUUUUGAAGAUUUGGAGGCACUAUUUGUAUGGUUCAAGAUUUGAAGUGUUUAGUGACCACAAAAGUUUGAAAUAUCUGUUUGACCAGAAAGAAUUGAACAUGAGGCAGAGGAGAUGGCUUGAGUUAUUAAAAGAUUAUGAUUUUGGUUUGAACUAUCAUCCGGGUAAAGCUAAUGUAGUUGCAGAUGCGUUGAGUAGGAAGACAUUGCACAUGUCGGCCUUGAUGGUAAAGGAGUUCGAGUUGCUUGAACAGUUUAGGGACUUGAGUCUAGUGUGUGAAUUAUCAUCUCAAAGUGUGCAGUUGGGUAUGUUGAAGAUCAAUAGUGACUUCUUGAAUAGUAUCAGAGAAGCACAACGAGUUGAUGUCAAGUUUGUGGAUUUAAUGGUUGAUAGUAAUCAAGCUGAGGAUGGUGAUUUCAAAGUUGAUGAACAAGGUGUAUUGAGAUUUAGAGGCAGAAUUUGUGUUCCCGACAAUGAAGAAUUGAAGAAGUUGAUUUUAGAAGAAAGUCAUAAGAGUAAUUUGAGUAUUCAUCCAGGAGCUACGAAAAUGUAUCAUGACUUGAAGAAGUUGUUUUGGUGGUCUAGAUUGAAGAAGGAUGUCGCGCGGUUUGUGUAUGCGUGUUUGACUUGUCAAAAGUCUAAGGUUGAACAUCAGAAGCCUGCGGGAUUGUUGACACCGUUGGAUAUACCGGAGUGGAAAUGGGAUAGCAUUUCUAUGGAUUUUGUGACAAGUUUACCCAAUACCCCGAGAGGACACGAUUCUAUAUGGGUUGUUGUUGACAGGUUGACGAAGUCGGCGCACUUCAUUCCGAUUAAUAUAAGUUAUCCAGUAGCUCAGCUGGCGGAGAUUUACAUUCAUAAUAUCGUGAAGUUGCAUGGUGUUCCGUCGAGUAUAGUGUCAGAUAGAGACCCAAGGUUUACUUCAAGAUUUUGGAGGAGUUUACAGGACGCGUUGGGUUCAAAAUUGAGGUUGAGUUCGGCUUAUCAUCCGCAGACUGAUGGUCAGUCGGAGAGGACAAUCCAAUCUUUAGAGGAUUUACUAAGGGUAUGUGUACUUGAGCAGGGUGGAGCUUGGGAUAGUCAUCUACCAUUGAUAGAAUUCACAUACAACAACAGUUAUCAUUCAAGUAUUGGUAUGGCACCAUUUGAAGCUUUAUAUGGUCGGAGGUGUAGGACUCCUCUAUGUUGGUUUGAGUCGGGAGAAAGUGUUGUGUUGGGACCGGAUUUGGUUCAUGAGACCACGGAGAAAGUCAGGAUGAUUAGAGAGAAGAUGAAAGCGUCGCAGAGUCGACAAAAGAGCUACCAUGACAAGCGUAGGAAAGACCUUGAAUUUCAGGAAGGUGAUCAUGUUUUUCUGAGGGUUACUCCUAUGACAGGUGUAGGACGUGCAUUGAAGUCGAGGAAGUUGACUCCAAAGUUCAUUGGUCCUUAUCAGAUUUCAGAAAGAGUCGGAACUGUGGCGUAUAGAAUUGGUUUGCCACCUCAUCUUUCGAAUUUGCAUGACGUGUUUCAUGUGUCACAGUUGCGGAAGUAUGUACCUGAUCCUUCACAUGUUAUUCCGAGAGAUGAUGUGCAAGUUAGAGAUAACCUGACGGUGGAGACCUUACCUUUGAGGAUUGACGAUCGAAAGGUGAAGUCUUUGAGGGGUAAAGAGAUACCUCUUGUAAGAGUUGUUUGGGGUGGAGCAUCUGGUGAAAGUUUAACUUGGGAACUGGAAAGUAAGAUGCAAGAAUCGUAUCCGGAGUUGUUUGUUUGAGGUAAGAUUUCGAGGACGAAAUUCUCUAAGUUGGGGAGAGUUGUAACGCCCUAGUCAUUAUUUUAUUAUUUUUGGAAUUAUUUAGAGUCUUUUAUGCAUUUUAUAAAAUAUGUGUGCUUUGUUUGGUGUAUAAUAUUUAUUUAUAUAAUUUAUUUAAUAUAAAUAGAAUAAUAGAGAUAAUAGAAUUAUUUAGGAGGUUAGGGAUUAAUUAGAAAUUAAUAGUAAUAAGGGAGGGUUUAAUGAAAAAAAAGGAGGUUAUGGUUUUGGAAAGUCAAGGAAAGAAAAAGGAGUGAAAACUGUUUUAACGUAAAAACAAGUGGGGAAGAGAAAAGCUAAGGCAAGGGAGAAGACCAAGAGAGAAGAACUAGAAAAUCGAUUGUUGAGCUUUCUUUGUCUUUGCAAUUCUAAGGUAAGGGUGGGAUUAUCUUUCAAUGAUUAUAAUGUAUAAUUUCUGAAAAGUAAUCUAAUUGAAUAGUUUUUAAGAAUAAUAUGAAAAUUAGGGUUUGAUGAUGAUUCUGAUGGAAUGGGUAAAGAUGAUGUUAGUUUUUCUCGGAAUUUAACGUUAAGAAUGAAAGCUUAACCCAUGUUGUUGCUGCAAUCCAUUAAUUGAUUGAAUUUUGGAUGAAUUGUAUGAAUUGAUGAAUAUUUGUAUGUUGGUAGAAUGUUUCUGUAAUCGUUGCUGCUGAUGGUUGAAUUGUGUAUUCUUUAUUAGGCCUAGUUGUAUAUAGGACCUGUAAACAUCUAUUGGAAAACAUUUUGGGUGAUCAGGGGAUUAAAAUGGGGUUUUUGGAGUGAGAAGGAGUCUGAAACCGUAGGUUUUGCACUGCCCAGAUGAAUGGUCGCUUAAGCGAAGCACCCGUCGCUUAAGCGAGCAUUCAAGCAAGCUGCCCAGAAUGCGAUUUUACCCGUUCGCUUAAGCGAACUGUGAGCGAACUAGUAAGCGAAAAUUAAGUUUGAUUCUGCCAAGAAUUCGCUUAAGCGAAUGGUAAGCGACUCUGUGAGCGAAAAACCAUUUUGAUUCUGUCCAAAUUUCGCUCAAGCGAACUUGUGAGCGAACCGUGAGCGAACCUGAACCUAGAUUUUCCUGUAGCUGGUCGCUUAAGCGAGCUGCCCUUCGCUUAAGCGAACUGGGUCUUAGUUAACCUUUUCUGAAUUUUGCUUCGUGCACUAGGGGUUCCUUUUUUAGUACUUCUAAGUGUUUUCUUUAGCUUGUAUAACCCUUGUAUAGGUAUUAAAUCUUGAUUAUACUGCAACGUUAAAUUGAUUGAUUAAUCUUGUGAAUUUUGGAGAGUUUGUAAUUGCAUUAAAGGGUGGUGAGUCAUAUAAGUACAUAUGCAUUUGUUGUCGAGUUGUAUGCAGAUAUACACAAGUGGAGUCAGUUGCAUAAGCAUAAAAACGAUGAGAACUUCGGUUCUGGAACGCUUUGUCGUUCAAAACGAUGGAACACGAUGUUGUUCAAAACGAUGUUAACGAUGAGGACUCAUGUCCUGAUAAAAGAAUGCUUUAACCAUUCUAUAACGAUGAGAGCUUCGGCUCUGAAAUGGUACCACAUGCAUAAUUGCAUUAGUUGAGGAGUCUUAGUAGAGUUGUCGUGUCUUGCAUGAGUCGUAGAAGUGAAGUCGAGCAGUUGCAUGAGUCAAAGUUACUGUUGACAUUAUUGAUGAAUGAAUGAAGUUGUUAAUGAAUGUUAUAUUAUGAUUGUUGAAUGAUUAUGAUGAUAGGGUGUUAGAUUCAUUUAUGUUAUUAUAUAUUAUUAUUAUUAUUGUUUGAGAAUCUCACCCCUUCUGUUUGAAUGUUGCCUCGACCGUGGGUAACGUGCAGGUGAUUCCGAGUAGUAGGUGUGGUGGCUCACAAAGUUUAGGGCUCUGAUACGUGGGAUGGGGUUUUAUUAUUUGAAUUCUUUCCUAUGUAUCAACUUUGAAUUAUAACUGAUGUAGUUAUUUGGUGAUCGACUGUUAUGUUGAAAUGGCCUUUAUGCCAAGAAUAAUUAUUGUAGAAUGAAUGAUGAUGAAAAUAAUCCGCUGCGAGUUAAUGACAAUUUUAUGAACGACGUUUGAUUAAAUAGAUUUUUAUAUAUCCUCUAUUUAACCAUUUUUAAAUGAAGAAAUGUAGCAUGCUCGUUAUGAUUACUCUGAUUAUUUUGUAUUAUUACUAUUUAAGUAAUUUUGGAAAACGGGGUGUUACAGAUAUUCUAGAUGCAUGAUUAGGGAAUGUAUGUUUAGAUGUAUGCUUAGGCUUUACAACGCUUAGACAAAAAUCAUUUUCCCAAAAAAAUGUGAAUAAUCUCACUUGAAAACCUUUUUCCAAAAAAAUAGGAGUCAAAACUCCUCAUUUUCCUUUUAUUUUCUUAAGUAAAAAUCUUAAUGAAUUUUAAUCAUACUUAGACUUUAUUUUGCAAAAUAACUAAUUCCACCUCACAUUUUCCAAAUCUCAUGCCCUUGAGGCCUCUCAUCUCCAUUCUUCAAAAUUCCUUUUUCAAACCUAAAAUCAACCAACAAAAACAAAAACAAUUUUUUUGAGAACGAACUACGAUUGGUUUUGAUCCCUUAAAAGGGUACGUAGGCAAUGAGUCAAAACUCCUCCAAGCCAAAUAAAAAUAAAAUCUCAAUCAUCUUUCUAUCCCCCAUUCUUCACUCAAAUAAAACUUCUUUUUCAAUAAGUAGGCAAUAAAAGUAAAGCGUAGAUAUAAAACUAGGAAAACGGUUCUAUAAUCAUUGCGGGUGCCUAACACCUUCCCGUAGUGAAAGCGAUCCCCGAACUUAGACUCUAAGGGUUUUUUCUCAAUUUUGCCCUUCCCAAGAAAAAAAUAGAGAUUAUCAAAGAUUGAAAGGUUCAAGCCAAAAUCAAUGACUUGACACCCGAAAAUCGCGAUAACAUACACUAUUGAAGUAAACCCCACCCUUACCUUAAAUUUGCAGAAGAAAUGUGCAGCAAAAAUCCACUCUUGGUUCCUCCUUGGUUCUCUCUUGUUUGCUCCCAAAAACUGCUUCUACGUAAAACUGAUUCUAACUUCUCUGUAUAACUUCCCUCUUAAAAGUAACUCCCUUCUAUUUUCAUUUAACUCCCUUUAAUUAUAAUAAAUAUUAAAUAACUCCCCUAACUCCAAAGUAACUAAUAUUUCAUACUUAUUCUAAUUAUUAUUAAAUAAACCAUAUAAUAAAAUAAUACACCACAUAAUUCACCCAAAAUCACACAUAUAUAUAUAAACAUAUGCAUAUAUUCCACAUAAAUCACCAAACCAUCAUAUAUAAAUGUAUAUAUACUCCACAUAGUUUAAAAUUAAUUAAAUAAAUCACUAGGGCGUUACAUCGCGCGCGGAUUUGCCAAGCCAGGCGCAUGCGCUACACGCGCGGACAGGGAGAGUGGCUGAACUCACACGCGGAGAGAGAAGACACAUGGCAUUAUGUGAUUGGCUGCUUGGAUUUUUAUCUUCUUAAUAAUUUGGACUCAAUUAUUUCAUUGAAAAUAAUUUUAUUUUUUUUUUAUCAAAAUUCGUAAUUUUUUUUCUCUAUAAAUAGAGACUUGGAUUAUUUGAUUUGGACACAGAAAAAAAAAAUCAAGUUUUUCACUCUCUUAAUCUUAUCAUUAGCUUUGUAUUAGCCUUUCUUUUGAAGUUUUAGUGUUUAUUUAGUGAAAUGGAUCCCACUAACAAUCAAUUCCACACCCAAAAUUCUUCUGAUUACCAUUUUAGCUACCAAAAUCCCAACAAUUAUCAACACCCAAAUCAAUUUCUCAACCAACAUCCUCAAAACCCAAAUCAAUUCCCCAACCAACAUCCUCAAAACCCAAAUCAAUUCCCCAACCAAAAUCCUCAAAACAUGUCUAAUUUUGGUUUUGCCUCAAAUUUCAAUCACCCAUCCUCUGUUCCAAACAACUUUAAUCCAUAUUUUAGAUCUAUGAUGGGAUAUCUAUCUCAAACACCCCCAUUUAAUGGUUAUAUGCCAAUGGUGAAUGAAAAUUUUCAGAGUGUUGGUGAAUAUCCUGAAUUUUCAUCACAAAUAAAUCGUGGUGGAAUGACACGAGAUAAUGAAGUUGCUCCAACUCCAGAGGAUACAACACCAAAGAGCAAGAGAAACCAACAACCACCAUGGAACACUGAACAAAAUUUGGUGUUAAUUAGUGGGUGGAUAAAAUAUGGAACAUGCAGUGUUGUCGGAAGAAACCAGACAAGUGAAGCAUAUUGGGGUAAAAUUGCUGAGUAUUGUAACGAGCAUUGCUCAUUCGAUUCUCCGCGCGAUGUAGUUGCAUGCCGAAACCGUUUUAAUUAUAUGAACAAAUUAAUAAAUAAAUGGGUUGGUGCUUAUGAUAGCGCUAAGCAUAUGCAAGGAAGCGGUUGGUCGGAAGAUGAUGUUUUCAAAAAAGCUCAAGAAUUAUAUGGAUGUGGGAAGAAUGUUCAAUUUACUUUAAUGGAAGAAUGGCGUGCUCUCCGAGAUCAACCACGGUAUGGUAGUCAAGUGGGAGGAAAUGUUGACUCAGGAAGUAGUGGAUCUAAGAGAUCUUACGAGGACUCUGUAGGAUCUAGUGCUCGUCCAAUGGGUAGGGAUGCAGCUAAAAAAAAAGGUAAGAAGAAAAGCAAGGGCGAGACAUUGGAGAAGGUGGAAAAGGAAUGGGUUCAAUUCAAAGACUUAAAAGAGCAAGAGAUUGAACAAUUGAAAGAGUUAACUUUGGUGAAACAACAGAAAAACAAGUUGCUGCAAGAAAAGACUCAAGCUAAAAAAAUGAAAAUGUAUCUAAAGUUAAGGGACGAAGAGCAUCUCGAUGACCAGAAGAAUGAGCUGUUGGGGAAGUUGGAGCGUGAGCUGUUUGAAAAUUAAUUUUAAUCAAAUAUUUGUUUGUAUUCAGUCAACAUUAUCAGUGUUGUCUAGUCCCGACUGUUUGCUUUAAUAUUUGUCAGUGUUGUCUAGUCCGUAGUGUUUGCUUUAAUAAUUAUCAGAGUCUUGUGUAGUCCUCACUGUUUGCUUUAAUAAUUAUCAGAGCGUUGUCUAGUCCUCACUGUUUGCUUUAAUAAUUAUCAGAGCGUUGUCUAGUCCUCACUGUUUGCUUUAAUAAUUAUCAGAGUGUUGUCUAGUCCUCACUGUUUGCUUUAAUAAUUAUCAGUGUUUGCUUUAAUACAAUACAAUAACUUAUUUCGAAUUCGUUAUUGUCGACCACACAAUGUACUUAUAUAUAGGGACUCAUGUCUACUUCCAAUAUCACAAAUCUCAUUCCUAUCUAUUUCCAAUAUCACAAAUCUCAUUCCUAUCUAUUUCCAAUAUCACAAAUCUCAUUUCUAGUGAAGCACAUAUGGACAAAGUUUGGAAUGUUUCACGAUUGAAGAUGAUUUGUAUCGUACUAAGUAAAUUACUUGUGUGUUGUGUGCUUGUUUGUUGUCUUGCAUUUUAAGCUAUUUGUGUGACCCGUACUUAGUUUGUUGUAUUGCAUUUUAUUUAUGUUAAGAAAAUAAAAAUAAAUUAUUUAAAUAAAUUUUGUUUUUACAAAAAAAAAAAAAAUUGUUAAGUGUUUCUUCAUUUUAAUUUAAUUAUAAUCGAUAAUUGUAAUUUUAUGUAAUUAUAAAAACAAAAAUAUAAAAUUAAAUAAGAAUAAGAAAUAAAAGGUGGUGGGGUAGGGUGUUGAAUGAAAAAAUCAUUGGAGAGGUAAAAAUUGAAUGGGUAUUAAAUUAAAAGAGAGAAAAUGAUGUGGAGUGUUGGGAAUUGAAAAAAUGGGUGUUGAAGGUUGUUGAAUAUAUUUUGCCAUUAUAAAUAGUCUAAGGUAGAUUGAACAAUAAUUUUCAAAACUAGGGUUUGAAAAAAAUCUCAAUAUAAUAUUAUUGACAACAGUACGGAGAAAGAAAGUGUAAAGGAGUAAAGGACUUAGCAUCUGAAUAAACCGACAAAAGUACUGUUUUUGGAUGGUUGGCAGUACCUAUAAAUGGUAAGGUAAAAGUAGACUCGCAUGUGAAUAAAUUAGUAAUAGUAAUAAUGCUUGUUUGCUGGCAAAGCUAAUUAAUGGUUUAGGACCAUUAUUUUAAACUCUAACAUGAUGACGUUCCUUAGAAAUAAAAUCCCAUUGUCCUCUUUGUCGUUAUGGCUAGUGACAUACAUGAUCGGGGGGCAAAAACAAAAAUUAGUUUAGUUUUAUGGUAUGUAUAUUUGUUUUUCCUUAGAAAUAAAAUCUCAUUGUUUUUCCUAAGACCGUAAAUUUCUAUUUUCAAAAGAAGAAGAUAUCGGUCAUGGUAACUUAAGUUUCAAAGGAUUUUCAUCUCCACCCUAGAAUUUCCCCACAAAAGUGUAUGGAAAAUGACAAAAAUGAUAUUGAUAAAGUUGAUUUCAUAAUUGAUACAAAAAUCUUUCAUGCAGUGGCGGAGCCAAAAAAAAAACACUCGGAUGGACCACUAAAAUUAAUUAUAAUAUAUAAACACAAAUUAAAGUUGUAAUAAGUAUUAAUUACGAAGUUGAAAUGACAUAGUUUGACUAAAAAUGACACAUUCAAUUAGAAAAGUAGCAAAAGAGAUACUAGAAGAAUAAAGUGGUUUUAAACCUUUGACGGUAAAGAAUCUUGGUGGUGGAACCAAGGUGGUCAAAGUAAAGUGAGAAUCAAAAGGGAUUGUUUUAAAGAGCGAUUUAUGUGUAAAAGGGCCGAAAUUUGGGAAAAUUAAAAGAGACCUGAUAAAAAGGAUCAAAAAGGCUUUGAACGAAGCAAGGACACAAGAUUUUGAUGGGUACACUAUCCUUAGGCACGAAGGAGGGAGAAAAAUCUAUAUAUAGUCUUGCUAAGGGACAAGAAAGAAGGAGAAGAGAUUUGGAUCAAGUUAUGUGUAUUAAUGAUGAAGAAGGUAAACUUAUUGUUUAGAUAAAAUAUAUAAAUGAUAAUUGAAUAAUCAUUUCUAUGAUUUAUUUAAUGAAGGUUGGAAGAUCUUGUCAGACUCUAAUAUGCUAGACAUUUGAUAGAUGGGUUGAAACUAUAACUAUCACGAGGUAAGAUAAGCGUUGAAAAACAUGAGUAAUAAUAUAUUCUUAGUGGAAAUAUUAUUAUAUUGAAAAGAUUGAAACAAUCACUUUUAUUUUUUAUUUAUUUUUUCAAUGAAUGUUAAUAAUUAGCUUUGAUGUUAAUAUUUACUCCUUCGUUCGAGUUUGAACUCAGGACAUGACUCCAACUCCUCAUCCAUAAACCAGUCAAGCUACCCAAACCCCCAACACCCCUUCCUCCAAACAAAACUUAAUAUAUACUUUAUACUUUUUCUUUGGAAUGACAAAUGUUCGUAAUUAGUUGUUAGAUUAACAUUUACUCAUUUGUAUGAGUUUGAACCCAUGGUUUUCAACUCCUUAUCCCUAAACUCAAACUAACUAAGCUACCCCAACCCCCAUCUUUUGAAACAAAACUACGAGUAUACUUUAUAUUAUUUUUACUUUUAAAUGUAUACUUUUCAUCAAAAAAAAACUUUAUAGUAUAUAUUAAAUUUAUUCUAAAUUUAUGUUGACUUAUUUGCAUGUACUUAACAACAAGAAUGUAUUUUUUUGUUUCUCAUGUUUAUAGGGAAGGAAAUCAUUGUGCUGAUCAAUUAGCUAAUGUAGGCCUAAGUCUGAAUACUUCCUUUUGGUGGGACCAUGUUCCUUAUCAAAUUAGUUGUAUAAAAUUAUGUCAAAACCAUUUUACUGUGGAAAUGGUGGAUUUGAGUUGUAUUCCAAAACCAUUUCUGGUACUUUAGAUUUUGUUAGUUUUGUGGAGGGUUUUGGUUGUUUGUCCCCCCUCUUUCUUGUAUCUUUUUUGAGUUUUUUUAUAAUAUCUUUAGGGGCUUGCUUCUUUGGCAAGCUUACUUUGUUUAAAAAAAUAUAUAUAUAAAUCACUAACUGUUUGUGUAAAUUAAUUUUUCAUUAAAUUAAAAAUAACAUUUUUAUUAAAAUUUUAUAAGUACAUUAAAACCCGUGCUUGGCCCGGGUAUCAUACUAGUAUUUGAACAAUAGAAAGAAAGCACAUGGCUAGACGGAUAAUAAUCAAUUCCUCAAAAUGGAGGGUACUAAAUUGUGUGAAUAAGGUAAAAUCUGUGUUUAAGGGGAUAGGAUAACUAGAUGCAACAAAAGUUUUUUCUUUAUUUUUAAAAAGUUAUUUUUAAAAAGUAAAAAAUGUUUGUUGUGUAAAUAUACUUCUGCAUUCUUCUUUCAUUUUAUUUUUUUUAUUUUAGUGUUUACUUCCACAACUAAAAACACCUUGUAACUUUAAUUUUUUGUGACAAUUUCUUUCUUUCUUUUAUUAUUGUUUUAUUUUUCAAAAAACUUCCACACUUUAUUAUCUCCAGUACUUCUCAUAGAUGGGAUUUAGAUUAUUAGGGAGAACCAAGAGAAUUUAAACAAGGACUCCAACCGAAUCAGAUUGAAAUUCUCAGGUGGCAGCAGUUGCAGGCGGUUUUUCCGUUUGACCUCUGGUUCGGUUGAGGUGAUAUCCAUAGGAAUGUGAGGGUUACAACCGGUUGAGCACAUGACUUCAAUUGUGAAACAUGAAAAAUAUUGUGAAUAUUUGCUGCAAGAGGUAAUUCAAUCGGGUAAAAAACUUGACGUAUACGAUCAAGAAUUUUGUAAGGACUAAGGAUCAUAGAACUUUUUGGACAGAGUUUGUGAAACUGAGUGUGGCACAUACAAGUUGAGAUUCACAACAUUACGAAUAUAAAAUCCAAGUGUAUAUUAGCUUGUUUAGACAUUCUGUUUUGAGCUAUUAGUAGUAAUGAUACACUAAUAUUGUUCAGUGCUUGUAGGCAGGCAUUGCUCGUAUUUAUGGUCUUGAUGAAGUUAUGGCAGGUGAAUUAGUCGAAUUUGAACAUAGAAGUUGUAUUUUCAUCCUAGUAGUAAUAAUAUCAUAAUUAAUAAUCAUUGAUCAUUUUCAUUCUUAAUCAAUAUUAUACUAAAAUCUAUUCUCAGACUGGCAUCAAUAAAAUGAUUAUAAAAAAUAAACUGAUUAUUUAAUCCUCCACUCAAAAACUAAAUUAACUCUUAACAAAAAUAUAAACUAACACAGAAAAACUGAUUAACUAAACUGUUAUUAACUAACUUCAAUUAACUUUCUAUUUCUUUCUUAUUUGACACCAAACUAUCCAUCAUUGUUUUGUGGUCAAAUUGGUCAUUGUGAAAUUCACAUCAAAUAUAUUACUUCAAAUCAAAGUAUUCUGAAUUCUCAAAACUGUACUAACAUAGUAUUUUGUCCUCUGUCUGAUUUUGAACUCAAUCUUUUAUCAAAAUACAAACUCCUUAUAAUUCUACGUUCCAUUUAUUUAUGAAACAUACAAAGAUUAUGAACCAAUAAGAAUAUUUAAAGAUACAAAGCAAGAAAACUACAAACCCUACUGCAUUGUAAUCUGUCUGACCGGAUCAUGCAGGUUAUUAUGAAACAUACAAAGAUGCAUUCAAAUAAUAAAAUACAGAAUGAGUAUUAUGUAAAUUCAAUCUUGUGGCAAUCAAUGACAACCAUACAUUUGGUGCCCUCCCAGAUAAGUUCGCCAUUGAAAAUCAAAUAAGCAUUUUUCUUCAAUUCAUCGAGUGGGCUGAUUUUCAUCCGCUUAGGGCUUGAUCUCCUGAAAAGAUCAAAUAAGCAUUUUCCUUUGAUAAGUUAUUCUUGUAGAAAAUGUUCUUUAGAAAAUUCCAGUUUUCAAAACAUAAUGAGUUACUCCUGCUGAAUUAGUUAUUCCCCAGAUGUAUUAUCCCAAUUAUAACAGUAAAGAUUGAUUUUUGCAAUGAUUUCCUGAGAUUAAUGUAGCAGUUACAGCUUCAUUCAACAAAUGAGCAAAGAUAGUUUUAUAAGCCCAAAAUAUUAAUAAGAAACCAGUUUUCUAGAAUGACUACCCAAGCUACAUUAAUUGAUUCUGGAAAUAAAAAAAAAAAAUAAAAUAAAAUAUUGUGUGCAAAAUGUAUACAAAAAUUGGUCUUUAAAAAUUCAUCUUUUAAAAAAAAACAUACGUAGCAGAGGACCCAUGAGAUGAUAUGAAAAUAUUAAGAGGUGUGUCGUACAGAUGAUUGAUUAUUGGCUUUAAAAAAUACACAUGUAGCAGAGAUUAAUUAGUUGCUAAUAUGAAAAUAUUUUGAGAUAUCUUUGUAUUUGAUUGUUAUCACAAUUAAUGACUAGAGAGGUAAAAGAAAAACAUACCUGAAAACUGGAACACAACUUGUCUAUCAUAUUGUGACUUCAUCAUUUAUAUCUAUGACAGGGAUGUGAGCAAUUUUGGACCAAUGUUCCUUCCUUUUAUACCUUUCUUCUAACAAUGGACAUUCCCUAAUUCUCAGUUGCUUAAGAGAGUCAGGGAGGCUGUCUUCUGGUAAUGACUCAAGCUUUUCACAUUUCCACAAAUCAAGUGAUUUCAGCGAGGAAGGGAGGCAGUUUUCUGGCAAUGUCUCAAGUUGAUCACAAAACCAAAAACAGAGAGUUUGGAGAGAGGAGAGGUGUCGCAGCCCAUUUCCAUCAAAGGACUUCAUUUCAGAGAGAUCAGUGAUAUAUAGAUACACAAGGGAGAUGGGUAGCAACGACUCCUUCAUCAAGGUGUUAAAUAUAUCAUCACCCUUUUGAAUUGUCAAUAAGGAAAGUGCUGUCAAAUAUUGGAGACCCCAUUCCGUAACCGGCGGAGUUAUUCUUCGAGAUGAAAACCAAAUUGAUUGUAAUUUGGGAGGUAGACAAACUCCUUCACAAAAUGACAGCUUUUGACAUUUCAUAUGCAACUUUUCAAGAGCGGUGAGCAUGUCCAUCUUAAGCUUGACUUCAAAUAAUUCAAUUGAAUAAUGGGAUCUGAUAUAAAGUGAUUCGAGGCUCGACGACCGAGGUGAAGACCUUUCUGAAAUAUAAAUGGAAUCCAGACUUCUGCAAUUAAAUAUGUCAAGUAAUUGGAGGGCAGGGAAACCAUCGAGUGGAAAGGAUGUAAGUGAAUCACAACUGCUCCAUAAAUAAAGACUGACAAGUGAUGUGUAAUUGCUCCACGUUUCAGGAGGUAGGAAGGAUAAAUUCUCACAUUUUUCAAUUUCAAGUGAUUGCAAUGAAGUGGGUAGACCACUUGAUGGAAAUGCAGUGAGAGAAGAAAGAGAAUCGAGUCUCAAGUGUGUAAGACAAGUGCUUCUCAGAAUCAAUUUUGGCACAACUAAUAGCUUAACACAGUUUUCAAUCACUACAUGUUGCAUCAUACACGGAGAAUCACUCUCAAGCAAUGACAAAUUGGUCCUUCCGUCAAGCCCAUUGAUAUUAACUUUCUUUAUUGACGACAACCAAUGCAUAGUGUUUGGCUCUGUUUCCAGUAGUUGAGAACAACCUGAUAUAUCAAUUUCUUCUAUGCAAGGAAGGUUGCUAGGCAAUUGUCCCCUUAGUUCAGGACAAUUAUGUAACUCCAUAACUCUAAGUCGAGGAAAAGCAACUUUUAUGCCUUCAAAGGGCAGCCAUUCAUUCCAAUUUGGCAUGUUGUCGAAUUUUAUACGCUCAAGGGAUGGAAAUGGUAGGAAGGAAGAAUUGGAGCCUUCAUCAAUCUGGACAAAAUAGAACUCUGUGCCAAUUGUCUCCAACAUCUUCAUACCACAUAUUUGUAGGUCCUUGAGAGAAGGUAACUGCCCUAAGGGUGGAAGUGUCACACAAUAUUCACAAUUACUGAUACAGAGGGAUACCAUGUCCGAAAACGAAGAAUUUCCCAGCCAACUCGGAAAGCUUGUACCAUCAUACAAGCAAAUAUUUAGGCUCUUCAUACUCAUUGGUGGUUGCAACAUAUCCAGCACAACUUUCACUUUGUGCGAGUCUUCACUUUGUUUUCCCCAUAUCAGCUCUAACUCCUCAAUUUUCUCUUUGCUUUUUAGGUUGGCAUCGUGUGCCUCUCUGGCAUCAACAACAUUAUCCAGGUUCUUGAUGGUAAGUUUUCCCUGUAGGUUUGGGAAUUUCCUUAGCUCUUUGAUACUUAACCCU
rnacentral:lncRNA from 1 species